rnacentral:lncRNA from 1 species
GCGGGUCCCGUUGGCUUUUAAUUCUAGUUUCUUCGUGUUGCCAGAUUUCUACAAGAGUAGUCCUGUCUGCAGAAUGCCAGACCUAACCCUGCAACAUUAAGAAGUGCACUGGCUGGGCGAGAGGUCGGAGUCGGUGGGCAGACAGCUCCCCUCAGGACAAAGACUUUCAAGCUGGGACUCUAUCAGAGGAGGUGAGUGGGGACAUCUCCCCUGGGACUCCUGUCCUGAAGCCAGGCCCCUGUGUCCUGUGCAUGAGAUUAGAAGCUGACAAAGCUCCAGCCAACCCACCUGGGUCCCAGCAGGGAGCAGGCUGCUUACCUGUGGUGACGUGCGAGCAGGGGCACCCGUGGGAUUGGGAGGUGGACCACCUUGUGUCCUGGCUUGGGGUCGGGAAGAAGGAAGACCCAGCAUGGGACAGCAGUGCUUCUGUGCUGUGGAUUUCUGGAGACCCGGGCGGAGGCACCAGGCUGGGGAGGGAAAGAGCCUCCUGUGCUACUGGGAAUGAUUUAAGCCGCAAGAAACUGGGGCCUUGACCCCACAGACGCUUAUUACUUUUUGUGAUAAUGGGAACACUAGAAGCUGAUCUUGCAGCUCAGCAAUGCCACCAGGGACCCAGGCUCUUGUCAGCAAUCGCUUUUCUGCUGAGUUUACUGUUUAUGCCUUAGGGUUGUAAGAUGGCUGCUGCUGCUCCAGAUAUCAUAAUUCCCAUCCCUUCAGGAGCCCCGAGCAGAAUCUCCAUUGCAUAUUGUUAGGAAAACUGGGUCACAUGUCACCCAAUCCCCUUGGCUCCAAGGGAACCUGGAGAAUUGACGUCCUGCAAGGGGAAACAAAUGGGCACAAAUGCCUUAGGCCAGCUGUGAUCUCCUGGCAGGACACAUUCAUUCAGGUUACAGCCGGGAUUUGUCCUCAGAGAGGUAGGAAUGGCUAUGAGGUAGGCAAUACCUAUACACAACAACACUCAAACAAGAUCAAAAGAAUUCCUGCCUGAAAACUGUAAACAAUAGAGAAGUAGGAACAUUACUUUAAAAUAAAUACAUUUAUGACCUUCAAUAAGUUACAGAAAGAACUACAAAACAUGAAUUCAACAGGCAGUUGGAUCGAGAAUAGAUGUUGAUGGUUGGGCGAGUGGAGCACAUCUGUACUCCAGUGACUCCAGAUGCUGAGGCAGGAGGAUUGCAUGUUCAAGGCCAGCCUGGGUAACUUAGCAAGACCCUGGGCAACUUAGCAAGUUGUUGGGUAACUCAGCAGUAAAGUGCCCCUGGUUUCAAUCCCUAGUAUUAAAAAAAAAGGCAAUCAAUCAAGCAAGAAAAAAAAGGCGUAUACAGAUAAAAAUCAGAAAUCUUGGAAAUUAAAGUACAGUCAUCAAAAUAAAAAAGCAAAUCUUACAAAUGAAAUACUGAACUGGGUGUCGUUGAAGAGGUUGAGAUGGAAGCCAGACUUUGCCUGUCACCUGGAAAGCCACAGAGAGUCAGAAUCAGGAGGGACGUGGAAGGCGAGCUGAGAGAUUACACGUCGUUAUGAUGGAUAUUUCUAGAAGACAAUAAAGAAUAGAAGAGAAGCAAUAUUUGAAAAGAUGGCUAAGACUUUUCCAGAAUUAAAGGUAAACAUGAAUCCUGGCAUGAAAAAGGCAUUUUGUUAAGCAGAACUAAAAGAAAACAAAACAACAAACAAAACUGAACAAACCUGCCCAGACCUCACACCAGAUGAGAUCAGAGAAGAGGGGAAGACGAGGAACUGCAGCCAGGCGAGGGCAGAUUCUGCAGGUGCCUGUGAUGGAAGGGCCCCUUGAAGGUCUGAGGGAAAACAACACUGAAGGCCAACUUCUGAACCUGGUGAUGGUGCUUUCAGAGGAGGUACAGAACAAACCAACCAACAAAACUCAAGUACCACAAAGCAAAGCAGGAACACCCAUUAUCAGGUCACCUAAACAGCAACAUUCAAAUAUGUAAACAGAAUAAACAUAGGAGGAAAUUGUUAUGAUCUUAGGAAAGCAAAGAUUUCUCAGGACAUAAAUGAACAUUAAGUGUAAGAGGAAAAAAAUGUUAAGCUGAAAUAUAUCAAAAUUAAACACUUUUGCCCUUCAAAAAAAUACCAUCAAGAAAACAAGAAGCUUUGGAAGCGAAUAUUUGCUGUGCACAAAGGGCUUACAUCCAGGAUCUACAGACAACACCUGAUCCCAAAUAGAAAAAAUUUAACAAACACUUUCACAAGAAGAUAAAUAAAAUGAUCAAUGAAGACUUAAAGAUAUGAUUAUUGUGAUCAGCUGUCAGGAAGGUGCAAAGAUAGAACCACAGUGAGAAGACAUAUUAACCCACCAGACUAAAAAAGACUAAAAUUUUAAAAGAUGAAAUACCCAGUGCCAGCAAGGUGGUAGGACAGUGGAACUGCUGUUGAGGACAUAAAAUGUCACGACGAAUUGAAAAUCUGUUUACUAACUUGUUAAGAAGUUGAGAAUACCUACAAGUCAUAUUCAGGCACUCUAUUCCUAGGUGUCCAUCCCGAAGAAAAGAAAACAUAUCACACUAAUGUUUACACAAAAAUGUUCACAGUAGCUUUAAUCACAGUGGUCAACACCUGGAAAUAAUCCCACAAACUAUCAAAUGGUAAAUAGGUAAAGAGUGUGUGGAAUAUUACUCAGCAAUAAAAAGGAACAACUACUGAAACCAACAGUAACAUGAGUAAGCCAUUCAGUCAUUCUGAAUGCAGAUACAAGGUCAUGUUAAAGCCAAAUGCAACAGAAUGCAUAUUGUACUAGUUCUAUAAUAAUUUGAGAAAUCUGUGGUUGCCUGUGGAUGGGGUGGAAGGAUGGGCUGCAUAUAGGUACCAAGAAUUUUUAGGGGUGAUGGAAAUGUUCUGCAUCUUGAUUGCGGUGAAGUUUUCUGAGCAUUUACAUUUAAAAAAACCCACUUGAAUGGGUGCCAUUCAUUGUAUGUCAAUCAUUCCUAAAUAAAUAUAAUAAGGAAAAAAUAAAUUGGUAUAAAAUAAGAUAUUUUUAGACAUACAAAGAUAAAGAAGUUUACAUUUUAUUAAGUCUUGAUAAAAAAAACUUGAAAAAUAAUUUGGAGGAAAGAAAACAAAUGAAUCAAAAUAGCAGAUAUAUAUAUAUAUAUAUAUAUAUAUAUAAAUAAAAUAGGGAGUUUAAUGCUUCAAUCAGAAAAUGCUUUGAGGGUACCUUAGUUCAUUUUUGUAAUGCUAUACUAGAAUACCAGAGACUAUGUAAUUAUGAAGAAAAGGAAUGGAUUUCUCACGGUUUUAGAGGCUGGGGAGACCAAGGUUGAGGGUUGCAUAUGGUGAGGGUCUUUCUGUCUUUCUACUGUGUCAUAUGGUGGAAGAAACCAGAAGGCAAGAGAGGGGGUGUGGUGGAGGACGUGUGCAUGUGUGUGUGUAGGGAAAGGGCCAAACUUAUUUUUUAUCAUGAACCCCUCCUGCAGUGACUAACCCGUUUCUACCAUAAUGACAUCACAACACAGGGACUUUGAGGGACACUUUCAAGCUAUAGCAGAGGCUCUCACAGACCUGGGUGAAUCUCUGUGUCAUACAACCAACUAGUAACUUCUAAGUUUAACUAUUGUUUAUCAUAAAGAUACCAACUGCAUAAAAGUAAAAAUACUUGGCACUGGGGUGGUGGCUCAGUGGUAGAGUGCACGCCUAGCCCGUGUGAGGCCCUGGGUUCCAUCCUCAGCACCACAUAAAAAUAAAUAAAUAAAAACAAAGGCAUUGUGUACAACUAAAAAUAAAUAAAUAUUAAAAAAGUAAAAAUACUGGUAUAAAGAACUCCCUAUGUCUAGAAUAACCCAUAUUUCCAUAAACCCAGCUUGCUUGAAUUUGGAAAUACUGUUAUUUAUUCAUCACUGAAUGGCAUUUUCAGUUUUUUAGAGAGGAGAUUUCUUUAUGUUCUCUCAAAAUGUGUCAGAUGAAAUAUUAUCAUUUUGUGCAUUUGUAAUUUUUAAGAAAUGUGAAAGGUAAUUAGAAUAUGAAAAUAAUGAAAAAUGGUAUUGUUCCCAAGACCUCAAAUCAUAUUAUUAAUAUCUUGUAAUUGCAAAAGACCUCCCUAUUUCUUGUAACCUUCAGAUAAAGAUUUAUUGAAUAUUGAUUUUAUUUUUCAAAUAUUUAUUGUACCAUUUAACCUCUUAUGUAGAUUGCUCCAAAUUCUGUUUGUUGAGUACCAUUUAUUAGGCACUGAACUCAACAGACUUAAGGCAUAGGAGAUUGGACCAAGACUUGGUCUCAACCAAAACGAGGUUGAAUUUCUCCAAGAACUGUGCUAACCCUCUAGAUUUCCAGCCUAACUGAUAGGGGGCGGGGUAUUGUUCCUCCUCUUGCUGCUUUGGUAUGGUGUGUUCCUAAAAUACACUUGUGCAGCUCAGAGGCCUCUCCUUUUCUUAAUCCUAAACCAUCCUUUUGUUUUCUGAGAGUUGGGGGGUGGGGUGGGGAGUGAGCAGUGUUCUAUCAUUCCUGGUACACACGCUGUCUCCUUCCUGAAAACUGAAGAGUAAACGCGCACCAGUUCGUGGGUGAGCGGUGGUUUCCUUACGGCAAUUCAUAACGAACUAAUGUCAUAAAUCACGAGGGACUGGCCAGCACCCAAAACGAAAUACCCUUGCUUCAGACCACACGUGUCUGCCGUGUCAAGAUGUGUCCUGUUUAUUCCAGUCACAGAAUAUUAGACCUGCAAGGGAACCAAGAGACAAAAAAGUUUUAUCACCUCCCGUUGCCAUCUUCUCCAUAAAUUGGUAAUAAACACACCUAAGUUCCUUCAUUACAAUGUGAUAGAUUGUAACAGCAACUCCGAAGGUCCAUUAUAUAAAUCAUUUAAAUAGAGAUUCAGACAAUUUGAAAAAUCCCCAUUAAUUACCAAGAAUUCAGUAACAGUGACAUGGCGAGGUUCAGUUUGCACUGCACUUGUGGAUGUAGACACUUAAAAAUGCAGAUUGUGACCCAAUGGAGCAGAGAAGCUCAUUAGUUAUGUAAAAUCUUUUCUUUCUUUAGUUGUGAUGGGAUGAGGAUUGUUGAACUGAUAGAUGGCCACUGAUCUUGUGAGGAGGCUGGGGCAUCUCCAGUGUGACACACUGGUUGCACCGCAGUUUUACAGCCUGACGGGAUUUGCUGUCACACCAGGAUCCAUCCCGUGGUGGGCACCUUUGGCGGGCUGAGCGCUGUCGAGGAGUAAAACAGUUAGCGCCUGGCUUGGAAUGGGAGGGGGACCCUUCCCCCUCUUUUUUCCCAGUUCCUGGAAUAUUUUAAAACACAGACCAGGAAUGAUGCAUAGUGUAGCCCCUCCACAGGCGGGGGAUUUAUGAGUGCUCUUUCCCAGGGCAGCCCAUUUGUUUGGUGCUCCUGAGAGUCAGCAUGUCCCUAACAUCUGCACGUGUUUUCCCUAACACAACGUGACUGAUGACUUCCACUUCGGCUCUCCACCCUGCUGGCAGCUCUGGUUUCCUCUCUUCCGUUACUGAAAAGGACGCCUCCUUCUCCACCAGCACCCAGUGUCUUGAGGGCAAGGGCCACUCAUUCCUCACAGGACUCCAGAGCCGUCUGCUCUGAGUGGUGAGACUCAAACGCUCAAACGUGCAUGUGCAUGAUAAAUAGAGGCAGGGUGCUGACAUUUGGGCGAGGCAGAUAGGCUCUGCUGUCUGCCUGGCUCAGUAUGUCCUGCCUUCCUGCCCAGAGGCCAGCCCUGGGCACUGGCGUUGCCCAGGUACAGAGGGUUGGACUCUCUUCUCCACCACUUCCCAGCCUCCUGCUCAGCCCUGCCUCCCACCUUCCUCCUUCCUCCACUGCAGCCCUUUUGGACUUCGGGGGUCACACACUUGCCUCUUUUUGCCCAAGAGGCCUCUAUUUACAUUGCCUCCCCAUCCGGGCUUCUUGAAAUUCUACUCAUGGCACCAGAUCCAUUUUAAGUGUCAUUUGAAAUAUUUAUAGGGACGACUUCUCCUCCUAAUGUCUGUGAUUUCUCCUUCCUGGGACUCUUAGGAAAUCUGAGGCAUGUUUUGGCACGUAUCAUUCAUCUCUCCAUCCCUGCCUGUGCAGACAGCUGUCCGUCGACCGUGCCCGGCACUUCCCAGCCACUGGAUUAGAAUAUGGAAUCCCACAGUCUACACUCCUCUCCAGAUUAUCAUUCUCAUCAUUUCUGGUGAUUCCACAUAGAUUUAAUCCCUGGGUCUCUCAGUUCUUUUGUCUCCUUGCCUCAUGGGAUCUGAAGUUUCACAAUGGCUUUGGUGUGGGUCCAUCUAUUAUAGAGAGGGUGCUAGAUACUGGUGGAUUCUUCCAAUAUAGAAGUUGGUGUCCUUAAACUUAGGGAAAUUUUCUUGAAUGACUCACUAGAAAUCUACUCCCAUACCAUUAUGAGCUCUGUAAACUAAUCAGUGAAUUUAUCUAUUGAUGUGGGUUAACUGGGUGGCAACUGUAGGCAGGUAGGUUGUGGACUAGAGGAAAUAGGUCAUCGGGAGUGUGCCUUUGGGGUUUAUAUUUUGCCUGUGGGGAGUGGAACUCUCUCUCUUCCACCCUGUCCUGAGCUGCUUUCCUCCAUCAUGCCCUUCCACUGUGGUGUUUUAUCUCCUCUUAGGCCCAAAGCUAUAGAGUUGGCCGACUAUGAACUGAACCUCUGAAACUGUGAGCCAAAGUAAACUUUUCCUCCUCUAAGCUGUUCUCCUCAGGUCUAUUGGUCACAACAAUGAAAAGCUAACUAAAGCAGACAUAUGUUAUGAUAAUAAUUAUGUGUCAAAUUGACAGGGUUAAGGGAUGCCCAGAUAGCUGAUAAAGCAUUAUUUCUGGGUAUGUCUAUGAGGAUGUUUUCAGAGCAGAGGAAUUUAAAUCAGUAGUCAGAGUAAAAAUGAUAUACCUACACUAAUGUGGGUGGGCAUCAUCCAAUCUGUUGAGGGCCAGGAGAGAAUAAAAAAGUAAGGAUGAUUGGAUUUUUUUUCCCUUCUUGAGCAGGCACAUUUAUCCUCACCUGCCCGGGGGCAUUGGAGCUCCUGGUUCUUGGACCUUUGGGAUUCCAAGACUUAGGCCAGUGGUCCCAGGUUCUCAGGCCUUUAGACUCAGACUGAAUUUUACUACUGACUUUCCUGGGUGUCCAGAUUGCAGACAGCAGAUGGUGGGACUUCCAGGCCCUCAUAAUCUCCUGAGUGAGUUCCCUUAACAAAACUCCUCUCUAUAUGUGUCUGUAUGUAACCUGUUGGUUUUUCUGGAGAAACUUGACUAAUUUCAAUGGUGUCCUCCUGUAUCAAUUCUCAUUUUUCUUAUAUUUUCUUGCUCAUUUUUAAUUUCUUUGUUCUUUUGCUGUUUUCUUGGAGAUUUCCUUGAUUCUUUCUGUGAAUCCUCUGAUGAAUUUUGCACUUAUAUUAUCAAGGUUUUAUUGAUGAAUUUAUAUUUUUAUUGCAGUAAAAUAUACACAACAUGAACUUUAUCACUUCAGCCACUUUAUGUGUGCAUCUGAUGGCAUCCUGCAUGCUCACAAUAUUCUGCUGCCAUAGCCACUGUUUGCUUUCAGAAGUUUUUCAUCAUCCCAAAUAGGAACCGUGUACCUUUUAAGCAAUAACUCCCUAUAGCCCUUGGUAACCUUGAUCACAUCUGUUGCCCCUAUGAACUGGCCUAUUCUAGGUAUCCCUUAUAAAGGGAACAGUCCACUGCACUCUGCUACCAAGCUACAUCCCAGCUCUACUUGUCCUUUUGUGUCUGGUUGAUUCCACAUAGCAUGUUUUUAAUGUUUGUCUGUGUGAUAGCCUUAUCAUGAUCCCAUUGCUUUGUAUGACUGAAUGUUUCAUUGCAUAUACAUCCUCAACCCACACUUUGUUUUCCCUUCAUCUGUUGGUAGACAUUUGGGUGUUUCCAGCUGUUGUCUGAGUUUCUGCGUUCAGUUUUUUGGGUAUGUACCUAGGAGUAGAAUUGCUAACUCUUAUGAUAAUUUUGUGAUUAACUUUUGAGGAUGUGUCAAACUAUUUUCCACAGUAACUGUACUAUUUUAAAUUCUUAACAGCAAAGUAUGAGGGUUCCAGUUUCUCCACAUCUUCACUGAUGAUUGUUAUUUUUUGUCUUUUUGAUACUAUCCACUGAUGGAUGUGAAGUGGUAUCUCAUGGUUUUAAUAUGCAUUUCCUUCAUGACUAGUGAUGAUGAGCAUCUUUUCAUCUUAUUAGCCCUUUAAAAAAUCUUCUUUGGGGCCAGGGUCUUAGCUCAGUGGUAGAGUGCUUGCCUAGCAUGUGUGAAACACUGGGUUUGAUCCUCAGCACCACAUAUAAAUAAAUAAAUAAAAUAAAGAUAUUGUGUCCAUCUACAACUAAAAAUAUUAAGAAAAAAAAUCUUCUUUGGAGGAGUGUCUAUUCAAGUUCUUUAUUUUGCCCUUUAUUUUGGCACUGAACAUUGAUCCCAGGAGUAUUUGACCACUAAGCUACAUUUCCAGCCUUUUUUAUUUUUAAUUUUUGGGGCAGGUCUCACUGAAGUUGCUCAGGACCUCAGUAAGUUGCUGAGGCUGGCUUUGAAUCUGUGAUUCUCCUGCUUUAGCCAAGUUGCUGGAAUUCCAGGUAUGAGCCACCAUGGCUGGCUCUUUACCUGUUUUUGAAUUUGGUUGUUUGUUCAUUGAUUGCUGAGUUAUCGCAGUUUUAAAAAUACAGUCUAUAUAUCAAUACCUUGUCAGAUGUAUGAUUUAUAAAUAUUUUUUCCAUUCUGUGGUUGCCAUUACUCUGUUGCUUGUGUCCUAUGAUGUGUAAAAGUUUUCAAUUUUGAUUAAGCCCAAUUUGUCUGGGGGGUCUUUUUUUGCUUGUGCUUUUGGUAUUGUAUCCAAUAGAUCAUUUCCAAAUCCAGUGUCAUGAAAACUUCUCUCUGUUUUCUUCUAAGGGUUAUAUAGCUUUUUAAAAAUCUCUUAAGCUUAGGUCUUUGAUCCAUUUGAAUAAAUUCUGCAUGUUGUAUCAGGUAAGCAUCCAACUUCAUUCUUUUUCAUGUGGAUAUCCAGUUUCCCAUCACCAUGUACUGAAAAAACUGUCCUUUUCCAUUUGAAUGGUCUUGGCAUACUUCUUGAAAAUCAAUUGAGCAUACAUGUGAGGGUUUAUUUCUGGACUUUCUCUUCUAUUUUAUUGUUGUAUGUUGAUUUUUAUGCCUGUACCACACAGUAUUGAUUACUUUAGCUUUCUAAUAAGUUCCCAGGACUGUGAGUUCUCCAACUUCGUUCUUUUUCAAGUCAUUUGGAUAUUUUAUGUUCCUUAUGCAUUCUUGAUAUGGUUUUCUAUUUCUGAAAAGAACACUGUUGGCACUCUCAUAGGGAUUGUGUUGGAGCUUUGUAUAGUUCCGUCAUUUCAAUAUUAUAUCUUUCAGUCCAUGAACAUGGAAUAUCUUUAUUUAUGUCUUUUCAAUUCUUCUCAGCAAUGUUUUAUAGAUUUCAGUAUGCAAAUCUUCUAUCAUCUUUGUAUUCUGUAAUAAAUAAAAUAAAUUUCUGUAUAUUUGAUUCUUUUUUGAAGUUGUUGUCAACUGUCAGAAUUUUAAUUUCCAAGAGACUUUUUUCUCGUAUGAAUGCCCUCUCCCUCAUCUUUAAAAAGAAAAUAGAAACCUAUUCUUAUGCCUUGGAUGCAGUAUCUGUUUUUACUUCUCUGAACGUUUGAAUCCUACUUACACUUUUGAAAGCUUCUCUCCCUGUAUUUAUUCCCUGUCAGGCUGCUGCCUCCUGUUUACUUUGGUCUCGGUCUUCUGUAUUAGAAACUUUCCUUGAUGUCUUGUUGUUCUAGCUUGUCUGCUUGAGAUUAAAAGUGCAUACUAAGGACUGUUUGGGUAGGGCUCGUCAGUCUGGAGCUUCCCUUUGGGAUGCUGUAGGUGGGCUGUUGUAGGGAACGCUGGGGUCAGAAUCUGGAUAUGGAUCUGUGUCUGGUCAGACUCCUCGGAGAGAAAAGUGCUGAUCCCCUUCCAUAGAGUAAAGGUCUGGCUGCAGACUUUGCCAGCCUUUAAAAGAUAUCUGCAGAAUAAAUCUCUCCAGUUCUCAGCCUUCCCCAUGAUUAGCCUGAAAGUUGACUUUCUUCAUAUCUGUUAGGGCAGUUAUAGCUUAUUUCUCUGCUUUCUAGUUUUUUUUUUUUUGUGUGUGGUGCUGGGGGUAUUGAACCCAGGGCCUUGUGCAUGCAAGGCAAGCACUCUACCAACUGAGCUAUAUCCCCAGCCCCUCUGUUUUCUCAUCCAAUUCUCCUUCUUUUGUGAAGUUAUGUCUUAAAAACAAACAAAACAAAACAAACAAACAAAAACAACACACAUGCAAACAACCAGUGGGCUUCGGGAUUUGGAAUUUUGUCAAAUGGGAGAAAUGAACAUGAGCUUCUGGCUCCUUUCCCCAAAGUGAGCUCUAGAGAAAGUGCAGAAAGUAGAGGAGAAUGUGGAACCUAGGAGCCAAACAACUACAGUCCAAAACCAAAUCCAAAUCCAAAGCCAGAGGAAACCUCGGGGGAGACUGUUGGUAUGUGUAGGAGGUCUUACUCUAGGCAGGGCAGGGCUGGGGUCUUCAUUGAGAAGAUGAGUGACUCUUUCCCAUAAUGCGACUUUGGGCAAUCCCUUUACUGGAAACCAGUCCAGAUAGUUGACAUAUUAGAGGGUACGGCCUGAACCCUGCUGGAAUGAGGAAGUGCUGAACCCUUGUGGGGCUGACCUCAGUUACCUGCCCUUAGGCUUGUCUCUCCACACCUCAGGACUAGGGGUUACAACCCAUGGAGUCAAACUUGGCCGCACUUGAGCAUUACCUGGCAAGCUUUACAGAUCCAUUCCAGCCACCGCCCCCAGAUCUUAACUAUUUGGAAGCUCUGGAUAUGGGCCCAACAUUUCAUAUAUUUUAGAAGCUCCCCCAGUGAUUCCAUUAUGUGUCAGGUGAGAGGCACUGUGUUUGCUAGUGAAGCACUAACCUCGGGAGUUUCCAGGAAGGAGCCCCAAGUGCUUCUUUGGUGUUUAGGGCUUUCUUGUGGGGCUACUGCUAAGUCCACCCAGGAUGUGGCCUGCCUUUAGCCUCUGCCACUCUCUGCUUGCCUUCACAUAAAUCACCACCCUGAGUAGAUAUUUCCAGGGCAAUUAUCUGAGUAGAUAUCAGGAUAAUUCAAUACUUAAAGAAUACAGUGUCUCAGAACUGGGCCACAUAUAACUUUCUGAAGUAGAAUUUUUGGAAAGAUGGACCAAAAGCUUAAAAUAGGAAAAAAUAUAAUAUAUUUAAUAUAAACAUAUGUAUAUAUAUUUUUUAAGAGAUGAGGAGGAAUCAUUUUAUUUUCAGUCUUUCUGUGAAUCUGGUUUUAAGCAUGUCAUUUUGAGCAACAUGUGGUUGCACCUUGCACUUUCUUUAUUCAGUGGUUUAAUUUAUUCAAUGUAAUUAUUAUAAUGAGAUUUCUUUCUGUUAUAUUUUCCACUUGUUCUGCUGUCUUCCUACUUUCCAUCCGAUCGACUGAAUUUUUUCCUGCUGCCUUAAUGGUUUUACAUUCUAAUUUUGUUCUCUAGGUGUUUACCUUUUACUUAGGAGCAUACCCCUGUUUAUUUAUCCCUGUUGGUAUCUGAAGCCAAUCAAUUUCCAUAUUCUUGUUCUCAAAGACUGCUCAUAAAAAUAUUGUCUAGAAUUGCGAAUUUUUUAUGGAAAUAUUUUCUCUUUUUUUGCUUGUUCAGCUGUAGUUUUAAUUAAUUUUUUUUAUAAUUUAAGACAACAAUGAAAGUUGAUUCUUUUUUCUCCAUGCCUUUUUCUGCUUUUCUUGGUCUUUCUUUUUUUAUUUGAAUUCUUUCUCCAAAAAUGUGUUCAAUGUGAGUGUUUCUAUAGCAAGCUUUGAGGUAUAUUUCUAAAAAACACUUAUUAUACCUUACAUUUGAAUGGCAAUUCAGAUAAAUACAACAUAAUAGGUUCAAAGUUCUUUUCUUUCUAUGUUUUAAAAAUAUCACCCCAUUGUCUUUCUGAAUACAGUGUUGCUGUUCAGAAUUCUGAUGUCAUUUUGAUUCCUUCAUUUGAUGCCUUCAAAAUAGAAUAGAAGUGUCUUGUAAUAAUCAGUUUAUCUGGCAUCUAACUUUUCUGUAUUAUUCUCCUCGGUGGACCAAGACAUACCCUUUAGAAUUGAUCUCUUUGUGUUGCUUGCUUCCUCAGGAUCUGCUCUUAAGUAAAAGUUUUUGUAGACCUAUUUGCAUACCUAACUCUGAGUGAUGAAUGAGACUUGGUGAAUUUAGGUACAAAUAAACCCUCAGUAAGGAUGUGGAAACUCCGAUAGUGGAAUCCCAACAGCAGGCUGUAGGAGCCUGCAGGUGGUUGCUUCGAUGGUCUUUCUGACACCCUUUGGAGCAGUCCAGGUUUAUGUAGAACUCACUGAAUGCUCUGCCCUGAGUCUGUGGACUUCACAAACAUCAGGUAAUGCAAUCCUCAACUCUUAUGGCUGGAUAGGACCCCUAACCAUAGAUGGAAAAGCUGAAGCCCAUCGGGUUAAGGGUCACACAGCCAGUACAUGGCAGUUUCAGGAUUUAAGUCCAGUCUGACUCCAGUAUCCGUGCCCCUGACUGUUUUACCCACUCAUUCUCUCUUGCUACAGGCAAGGAAGGCACUCAUGCUAGACUCAGAAUAACCAAAGUCUAAAUUCACCAGAAAUCUGCCGAGUGCUAGCCUCAUGCUAAGCAAAUUACAUAUUUUUCAGAAGGUCAUUCAAUGGGGUCGUUCCAUGGCUGACCUUGGAGUCUUAGGCAAGGAAGACUGAGGGGGGAUCUUGCUAGAAAGCAGCCCUUCUGCUGCUUUUGGUAAGAAGCCACUUGGAAGGGUACCAAGGUGACCCUUGAGGUCAGGUUUCAUGUGGUGGUAGACUGGUUUCCCAAAGCCCUGUUGGAUUUGUAUGGAACCUCCAGCCCUCUUCCCCCUGAGUUCUCUUAACCCCCUCACCCAAUCCUAGUUGUGGCACGCAAACCGUCACCUGGAACAUUUUUAUUACUAAGAACCCAGGGCCCCUGCAAGUUGCCUUCUGGCCAAUGCUGUUCAAAUAGGCCUCCCAAGCAGGAAGCUUAUCAGUGGAGAAGAAACAAGAGGAACUCAUAUUGUCAUUGUUGAGGUCCCCCACAGGCUGGACUGGGCAUCCUCCAGACCCUUUGAAGGUCCUUUCUCCUGACUCCAACCUCACUAAGUAACUCAUCACCACAACAGGGCUAAUUAGAAGCACAGUGCUGGGGACUGUGAUUUUUGGGCAGUGGGUUUUCUCUUUCCCCAUGGGAUUGGGAAUUGGGAGCUCGGGAUUUUCUUCUCACUAAUCUGUGCAGUGAAUUAAGUCUUCUUGCUGUGUUUUAGCUCUUCCACCAAGAAAUAGCAAUUUAUUUCCUUGUAGUACUGUAGUAGUGAAUUAGGAUUAAUAUAUUUGUUGUCUUUGAGUGGCCAGGAGCAGGCACAGCUCUACAAACCCAGUGGCACUGCAUCUGCACAAUAGAUGACCAUGUGUUACUGACUCUCUGAUUUGCCUACUUUUGAUUGUGUGUGCUGGUAAAUCCUAGGCCUCAAUACUACAUGCUAAGAGAGAAUUGGAUGGUUCUGAACUUGGUAAAAAAAAAAAACACAGUCAAACACAAAGAUGCUCAUUUGUUCUGGCUGCUUUUCUACUAGUGGCUUCCUCAGAUGAAGUGGCUCUUCCCAGGGUCACAAGGAACCCAAGGCUAAGGCACAGAGUACUGUGCCAGCAAGGGGUGGUUGUAAUUUCAAAGAGACAUUCAAGAAUAGUUUGAGAACCUUGGACUCUGGAGUAUUCGGAGCUCUCCAGAAGCACAGACCUCCUGUCAUUGAGAGGAGAUGAGCACGGCUUUUCUCCAUGACAUGUUUCUCUGCACUGUGAGGUCUUUGUGUCACCCUGGCUAAGUUUCCAGCACACAGGAAGUGUUCACAAACUGCUUGCUGAAUGAAUUAUCAAAGUGACUACGAUUCCUCCACUAAAUUCUUCUCAUUAAUGUCUCUCCUCGCAAAUUACAUCCUUAUUUUCAUUUUGGAAAUUGAGUAGAGCAAUUUGUGUCACUCUUCGUCUAGGGUAGAUCUGUGAUGGCUUCCCUGCUUAUAACUUUUGUUGCCCUAAGUGGCCACGCACCAUUGGAAUCUGCUGCUCUCCUGGCCUCAGAUGAUGGGGUUAGGGUGAGCUCCUGGCUCCAUGCUGUCUGGACUUAGGUGGACUCUUAAUGAGAGAGUGCUGCCAGUGUGCAGGCCAUAAAGACUCAAAGCCUGGAGUGGCUGUCCUGGUGCCCUGGCAAGCUGUCUGAGGGAGGAGAAUGGACCUCUCUUGGUGGCCCCUGAGAGGUGAGAGAUUGGUUUGUUCCCAUGGACACCAAGAAUCCUGACGUUGUGGUUUCUUCGAUUCUGAGAUGUUUCUGAAUUUUAUUCUAAAUUCCUUUCCCUCUUCCUGUGCCUACUUCAGUGAGGAGUGCCCUUGAGAAGACCCUUCCUACAUCGUUUCAUUCUAAGAGUGUAAACAAAUUCUCAUCUCAGCCCCUUAAGAGAAGCCAAGCCUAUGUGAGCGCUUGGCCGUUGGCUUCUUGAGGAGUCCCCUUCAAGAUUUUCAAGUACGCUUUCCUCCUCUCCUUGGCCUCUUCAGCAUCCUCCUUCCUCGUCUCUGAUGGGGUAUCUUGGACAGAACUUGAUGUUCCUAACAAAAGUCCGAUCAAUGCUUUUGAGAGUGAGGGAGUCCCUCUGAAUCCCAGUGCCCACACUCAGGAGUAUUUAAAAAGUGGUUUCCAUGUAUUUGAAAAUAAUAUUUGAGAAUUCAGGAUGUAUAAAUAUACAUUUCCCCCUUGGGAACAAUAUUGUUCUGCACUCUCCUACAGGGAGCUUUGAUGUCAUCUCUACUUUUUAUUCUGCUUAAUUUACCAAACAAUCAGAGCUGUGUGCUGUGGUCUUCCACCAUGUUUUUGAACUAAUCUGUUUAUUCUUCUAAUUCUAACACUGCUAUAUAUCUGAACUUGUUUUAUUAAACAGAUGGAAAUUUAAAAUGAUGUCUUCCUGAGGAUCUCUUCCUCUGUCCCUAUGCAGUGAACAUCUUUCCCCAGUCAGGCCUUUUCCCUUGAAAUUUGUUCUGGCUCAUGGAGCAGGGCUAGACUUCAUUUGGUUUUUAUUUUCCUUGUGUCUUUUAUCUAUUCCUUUGUUCAUAGUCUUUAAUAGUAUGUUUCAACCACAUUUGUUAUAAAGAUAUAUACCCAGAUUUUGAUUUUUAAAAAGUAAUUUUAAAUGUUUACAUGGUAAAUACACAUUAUUACAAUCACAUAUUGUCUUUUCCUUUCUAUUUACCUUCUCCUUUCUUUGUUUAACUUUCUUUUCCCCCACUUUAUUGUUUAACUUAGCUUUCUUUAUUUUUUACUUCCAAUGCUAGUGCCAUGGGUAGCUGUGCAUCCUGUUGCUGUUUUCUUAUGGAUUACCCUAAAAGUGUAAAAUGAUGCUUCGUAGUAAUUAAGCAUUAUAUGUACAUACUUCCAUACUAAUGGUUUACCAUCUAAUACCUUAAAAUGUUUUAACAUCAACCAUGAUAUUUACAUCCAGUAUUUUGUUUUUACUGACUUCUGUUUUUGAAUAUCAUUGCUAUCAUUGCUUUUCUAGUCAAGCUUCUUCAUAAAUAUCUGAAUAUUCACCAAUUUUUUUGCUCACAUUUCUUGUAUCUCAGUCUUCCUUCUUCUUCUUUUAAUUUCCUUUUUUUUUUUUUUGGCAGUUUCAUGAUCCAAAUUGCUCCCUUUUUGAAAUGACAAACAUCUCAAUGCUGUAUUUUGGCAAGGAGAUACCACAGAUACACUGUCGCUCUUUUCUUCCAUGUUCAAUUUUUUUCUUGAUGCAGUAAUACUUGGUUGUAUUUUUUUUUCAAAUGAAGAUAUGUUAGUUAAAAACUGUUUCAGUUUGAUUGAAAAUGUCUUUAGUUUUCCUUAUUCUUUAAUAAGAGUUUGGCUGGGUUUAAAGUUCUAAGAGGACAUUUUUUUUUCUUUUCCUCUUAACACUUUGAAAAUACUUCCAUUGUUUUCUGAGUUCUAUUAUUGCAGUUGAAAAGUCUGUUGUUAAUUUGAUUAUCAUUCUUUUUUUCGAAAGUCUGUGUUUUAUGCUUCACAUAAAAAUGGUCUAAAAAUAAAAUAAAAUUUUGCAGUUUUUUGUACAUUGUAUUAAGUGCAGACUUAUUUAUUUGUUAUGUUUGCUAUCUGAAAGGAUUACUGAGUUCCAGGAUUCCUGUCUUUCUUCAAUUCUGCAAAUAUUGUCUUUUCCUCCCCCUUUCUGUUUUCUGUCUGGUUCAGUUUUGAAAUUUGUUGGAUCUUCUCAUUUUAUUGUCUGUUUAUCUCAAAUCAAACCAUUUUACACUUCUUUUUCUCUCUCUGACCCUUUCUGGAUAUUUCACAGACGUAUCUCCAAUUCACCAAUUCCUUUCUUCUGUUGUGUUUGAGAUGCUUUUUAAUCUACCCAUUGAGGUUUAAAUCACAAUGACUGAAUUUUUCAUUUUUACAAUCUUUGUUCGAAUCAUUUUCAAAUGUCUGUAAUUUUUAAUAGUUUCCCUAUUCUAAGACUAAUGAUUUUAAAUGUAUUCAUGCAUACAGUUUCCAUCUAAUUCUAUCAACUAAAGUUCUUUGGGGAAUUUUGUGUUGUUUUUGUGCUUAUUGAGCCUUUUCCCUUGAGAGGAUUGUUUCCUCCUGUAUCUUUAAGUUCUGAGUUCUGAGUAUGUCUCUGAGUUAUGAGUUUGGGUUCACCUUUGUGAACUUCUCUUCGGCUUGGACUUGUGAUGCAACCUGUCCUGAAAAUUCUGUGUUUGCUUCUGAAAAUAACCUUAAAGAUGUUAGCAGUUUGGAAACAUUUUUAUCUUAUUUUUUGGCAUGGAAGUUUGUGAUCUGUGUGAUCCUAUAAAUUGAAGCCAAAUUUACAUUAAGAACCCUUAAUUUAAAUUCCAUGGGUAGUCUAUUUCUAAUUCAAUACUAAUCAGUAAUUAAAAACUUCCUUGGUAUCCCUCUGGGUCAAUGGCUGGAUUAAAAAAAUAAUUCUUCCAUUUAGAAUGUAGCCAUUCAAGGGUCAUGGAUUCAUGAGAGUCUCAAUUUUAGCUUCAGUCUUACUGGGGGUUAAAUUCUUUUGUGCCUGUGAGAAGUUAAAAACCACAUCUCUUGUUUCAGUUGGAACAACUCCUACUUCAAAACAGACAGAUUUCACUUUCCAGUUUCUAAUUUACAGCUCAAUUUUGGCCUUUGUGAAAUUCUUCUAAUUUAUUGUAAGUUCAGUUAUGUACUUGAUAUGAUAUUUGCUAUGUUUAUCUUUAUCUGUAUUUGAAAAAUUAUUCACAUUAUUUUCAAUUCAGAAAUCAUAAUUAUAUAGAAUCACGAAGUACAAUGUGAUUUUUUUUAAUGUAAUAUUUUGAACAGGUAUACAAUGUGGGCAUGUAUACCUUAAAUGAAGCUAAUUAACGUAUUCAUUAUUUGCUUACCUAUUCUUUCUCCAUAGUGAGAUAUUUGAAAUUUACUCUGUUAUUUUGAAAUAUAUGACAUUAUUAUUGACUUAGCUAAAAUAAAUAAUAAUCACUGUUGUUAUUAACCUUGCUAACAAACUUGAUUUGCAAUCGAUAUCAAAUUCUUUUCCAAUCCAACUCAAACUUUGUACCUUUUGAUCAAAGAAUUGCCCCUUUCCUCCUCCCCACCUACCAGCCUCUGGUAACCAUCAUUCUACUCUCUACUUCUGUAAUUUCAACUUUUUUUUUUUUAGAUUUUACAUAAAAGUAAGAUUAUAUAGUAUUUGUCUUUUGUGUUUGGUUUAUUUUGCUUAUCAUGAUAUCCUCCAGAUUCAUCCAUUUCCCCUAUGGUUGUACUAAUUUGUGUUCACACUCACAAUUCCCUUGCCAAUACUUGUUGUCUUUCGUAUUUUGAUAAAAGUCAUUUUAAUGGGUGUGAGGUGAUAUCUCCCUAUGGUUUUACUCUACAUUUCCCUAAUGUUUAGUGAUACCAAUCAUUUUUUCAUGUCCCUGUUGGCCAUUUGUAUAUCUUGAGAAAGGUCUGUUUAAGUCCUUUCCCCAAAAUGACCAGAUUAAAAAGAAUGGUCAAAAAAUGACCAGGUUACUUGUUCUUUUGUUAUUGAAUUGUUUGAAUUCCUUAUUGUGGUGGUUAGUUUUUGGUUGCUGUGACCAAAAUACAUGACAAGAACAACUAGGGGAGCAAAAGUUUAUUUUGGCUCAUGGUUUCAGAGGUUCAGUCUAUGGUUAGUUGGCUUGAAGACAGAAACAUCAUGGCAGAAGAGCAUGGUAGAGGAGGAGGAGGAGGAGGAGGAGGAGGAAGAGGAGGGAGAAGAUGAAUAGGAGGAGGAGGAAGAGGCGGAGGAGGAAGAAGAAGAGGAAGAAGAAGAAGAAGAAGAAGAAAGAAAGAAAGAAAGAGAGAGAGAGAGAGAGAGAGAGAGAGAGAGAGAGAGAGAGAGAGAGUUUCUUCAACCAUGCUCUACCUGCCUACAGUUACCACCCUGUAGUUCAUUCAGAUUCUUAAUCCAUCAAAUGGAUUAAUCCUCUGAUGAGGUUAUAACCCUUAUAAUCUAAUCAUUUUUCAAAGUCCAAUCCUUGGGUCUUAUUGCCCUGGGGACUUUUCAACACUUGAGCUUUUGGGGAGAUAUUCUAGACCCAAACCAUAAGACUUAAAUAUUUUGGAUAUUAAAUUCUUAUCAGAUGUAUGGUUUUCAAAUAUUUUCUUCCUCCCAUUCUGUGGGGUGUCUAUUUUGCUGUGCAGAAACUUUUAAAUUUGUGUCAUCCCAUUUAUCUAUUUUUGCUUUUGUUGCUUGUGAUUUGAGAGUUUUAUCUCUCAAAUUGUUGCCCAGACCACUAUCAUGGAGAUUUUACCCUAUGUUUUCUUCUGGUAGUUUUAUAGUUUCAUUUCUUAUAAUUAAAGUUUAAAUCCAUUUUGAGCUGAUUUGUAUGUAAAUUAUGAGACAAAGAUCCUAUCUGAUUUGUCUAAUGUGGCUAUCCAGUUUCCUGGUUUAUUGAAAAUUGUACUUGCCCUAUUGUGUGUUCUUGGUGACCGUCAAAAAUUCAGUUGACCAAAAAUACAUGCAGGGAGUUUAUUUCUGGACUUUCUAUCCUAGUCCAUUGGUCAAUUAGUCUGUUUUUAUGCCAGGACUAAAUGAUUAAAAUGAUUUUAUAAUAUGUUCUGAAAUCAUGGAUAUAAUGAGUCCAGCUUUGUUCUUGUUGCUCAUUUGUCUUGGCUAUUUGGGGUCUAAAGUAGUUUCAUACAAAUUUAAGGAUAGUUUUUUUCUAAUUUUGUGAAAAAUGAUAGAAAUUUUGAAGGAUUACAUCAAAUCUGUAGAUAGCUUUAAGUAGUAUGGAUAUUUUCACAGUAUUAAUUUGUCUAAUCCAUGAACACAGGAUUAUUUUGUAUUUUGGUAAUUCAUCAAUGUUUUCUAGUUUGUAAUAUACAUGUCUUUUACAUAUUUGAUUUAUUUUAUGAAUAAUUUUAUUUUGCUGCUAUUGUAAAUGGGAUUGUUUUCUUAAUUUUCCUUUCAGAUAAUUAUAAGCAUAUAAAAAUUACUUAUUUUUUAUGUUGACUUUGUAUCUUGUAAAUUUACUAAAUUAAUUGAUCUGUCCCAUUGUUUUUUUUUUGUGAAGUUUUUUUUUUCUAUAAAGUAUAGUAUGUUGUCAACAAAUAGAGACAAUUUCAUUUACGUUGUUGUUAGAAUGCCUUUUAUAUUUUUAUCUUGCCUAAUUGUUCUGGGUAGAACAUUCAGUACUACGUUGGAAAGAAGUGAUUAGAAUGGAUAUACUUGUCCCCAAUCUUAGAGAAAAAGCUUUUAAUUUUAAUUGUUGAUAAUGAUGUUAACUAUGGGUUUGAUACAUAUGACCCUACUGUGUUGAGAUACAUUCCCUCUCUAUCUAAUCUUUUUUUUUUUAAUUAAUUAAUUUUUUUUUAGUUUUCGGUGGACACAACUUUGUUUGUAUGUGGUGCUGAGGAUCGAACCUGGGCCGCAUGCAUGCCAGGCGAGCACGCUACCACUUGAGCCACAUCCCCAGCCCCUCUAUACCUAAUCUUUUGAGAACUUCUUUUUUGUUUUUAAAAUCAGAAAGACUUGUCAAAUGCUGUUUUUACAUCUACUGAGAUGAUUAUAUAAUUUUUAUCCUUCAUUUUUUUAAUGUGGUGUAUUACAUUUGUUGAAUUGUCAGUGUUGAACCAUCCUUGCAUCCCAGUGGUAAAUUCCACUUGAUCAUGGUGAAAGAUUAUUUUAUUGUAUUGUUGAAUUUUGUUUUUGUAUUAAUCAGUUUCCCAUUACUGAGACCAAAAUACAUAACAAGAACAACUUAGAAGAGGAAAAGUUUAUUUUGGGCUUAUGGUUUCAGAGGUCUCAGUCCAUGGUUAACUGACUCUAUUUCUCUGGGCCCAAGGUGAGGCAGAACAUGAUGCAGGGAGCAUGUGUCAGAGGAAAGCUCAGGUUGUAGCAGCCAGAAAGCAGAGAAACAAAAUAUAAACCCUAAAGGCACACCCCCAAUGACCUACUUCCUCUAGUCAUGCCAUACCUACCUACCAUUACCAUACAGUUGUCCAAAUUAUUGACAAAAUGGAUUAAUCCAUUGAUUCUAUUAUAGUUCUCAUAAUCUGAUAAUUUCACCUCUGAACAUUCUUGUAUUAACAUGGAAGCUUUUGGGAGGAUAUUUCACAUACAAAUCUUUACACUUUGCUAAUAUUCUGUUGAAGAUUUUUGCACUUAUGUUCAUGAUGGAUAUUGUUCUAUAAUUUUCUUGUAGUGUUCUUGUCUGGCUUUGGUAUCAGGCAGUACUGUUUUUAUAAUAAAAUUUGGACCUAUUCCCUCCACUUUGAGCUUUGUGAAAGUCUGGGAAGAGUUGAUAUUAGUUUUUAAGAUAUUUGUUAAAAUUUAGCAGUGAAGCCAUCUGGUACAAACUUUUUUUCAGUGGAAGACAUUUGAUUAUGGAUUCAGUCUCAUUACUAAUUAUUGCUCUCUCUGGAUUUUCCAUUUCUUCAUAAUUCAGUCUUGAUUUAUAUGCCUAGGAGUUUCUCCAUUGCUUCUUGAUUAUACAUUUUGUUGGCAUAUAAUUGUUCAAAGUAGUUUCUUAUAAUCAUUUGUAUUUGUUGUAAUGUCUCCUCCUCCUCAUAUCUGAUUUUGUUUAUUUGAGUCCUUUAUUUAACACCCCAUGGUCUAGCUAAGGGUUUAUUGAUUUUUUUUCCUUAUCUUUUGAAAAAAUUAACUUUUAGUUUCAUUUUUUUUAGUCUCUUUUACCCUUAUUUCUGAUCUUUGUUAUUUCCUUCCCCUGUGGGCUUGAUUUGUUUUCUUUUCCUCAUUCCUCAAAGGAUAAUAGUAGAUUGUUUACUUGAGAUCUUUAUUUUUGACAUAUGAGUUUAUUGCUAUAAAUUUUCCUCUUGAAACUGCCUUUGCUGCAUCCCAUAAAUUUUGACAUAUUGUAUUCCCUUUUUUAUUUGUUUCAGGUAUUUUUUUAUAUUCUUUUAAAUUUCUUCUGUGACCUAUUGAUCACACUGAGAAUUUUGUUUAAUUUCCACGUAUUUGUAUAUUUUCCAAGAUUUAUCCUCUGUUUGAUUUUUAGUUUCAUGCUGUUGUGAUCUCAAAAGAUACUUGAUAUUAUUUCACUCCUCUUAAAUUUGUCAAGAUUUGUUUUGUGGCAUAACUUGUGGUCUAUCUUUGAGAUUGUUCCAUGUGCUCUUGAGAAGAAUGAUUAUUCUGUUGCUAUUGGAGGGAAUAUUCUGUAUAUACCCAUUAGAUCUAUUUGGUCUAAAGUGUAAUUCAAUGUUUCCUUAGUGUUUUUCUGUCUAGAUGAUUUGCCCAUGGUUGAAAGUGGAAUAUUAAGGUUCCUUACCUAUUAUAGUAUUGCAGUUUCUUUCUUUUAGAUCACUUAAUAAUUGCUUUCGGUAUUUAUGUGCUCUGAUGUUAAAUGCCCAUAUAUUUAUAAUUGUUAUGUCCUCUUGCUGAACUAACCAUUCAAUCAUUUUGUGAUAAUUUUGUCUCUUUUUAUAGUUUUUUAUUUAAAGUCCAUUUUAUCUGACAUUAAGUAUAGCUACCUCUGCUCUUGUUCAGUUUCCAUUUAUGAGGAAUAUAUUUUUGUAUCUCUUGCAUUUGUCUAUGUGUGUCAUUACUAGAAAAGUGAGUCUCUAAAGAUCAAUGUGGUUGGAUUUUGUUUUUGGAAAUCCAUUCAACCACUUGGUCUUUUUACUGGAAAAUUUACUCAGUCUACUUUCAAGUUAAUUAUUGAUAGAUCAGGACUUUUUACUGCCAUUUUUGUGAUUUAUUUUGAAAGUCUGUGGUUUCUUCAUUCCUUCUGUGAUAACCACUCAUCUGCAGUUGGCUGCUGAUCUAGAAGGACUAAACAUGAGUACCAGGGUUGUGUGGGGAAGUUGUUUAGGGCUUGAGCCUGGUAGACCUAUGGACUGUGCUUCCUGAAGUGCAGUGCUAUUGGCUAGUCUCUUUGGAAUGGUACCUCCAUUGCCAGAAUGCACAGCAAUAUCCAAGAGCCACAUGGAAGCCACUUUGAACCCCAUCUCUGUUAUUUGUUUCUAACAGGAAGUUUAGACCUACUGGUAUUCCCAAAGUUUUUCAUGGGAUAAGACAGAAGCAAGCCCCCUUUGAAGGGUUCCAGAACAGCAAGGAAGCUGAAUGUCUACCUCCAACUCACUUUUGACACUGUGAAAACUGUGUGUCCAUGGAAUCCUUUCUGUAUGGUGCUGUGUUGGCUUUGAGGAGGGCGGUGUGGUAAAGAGGUCUGUUCCUCAAACUUUUGAAUGUGACUUUCUUAGCUAUGCAGUCUAAGGGGGUGUCUCAGUCUCACUCUUGAGUGCUGGUAUAUUCACAAAGUGUUCCCAUCUAUGGGUAACUGUGAGGUGGGUUUCUGUGGGGACAGUGGAAUUGAUGAACUCCUGGUCUCUCAUCUUGCUGCAUCAGUUUUUCAUCACUUUGACCAAAUACCUCACAGGAACAAUUUAGAGGAUGAGAAGAUUAUUGUUAUCUCAUGGUUUUCGAGGUUCAGUUCAUGGUUGGCUGAUCCCAUCACUCUGGGCUUAAGUGAGGAGGAGCAUCAUUGUAGAAGGGCAUGUCAGAGGAAAGCUGCCCACCUCGGCUGGGACGUAGAGAGGGCAAGGGCAGGGCAGCAGGCAGGAUGAGCCCUUCCAGGGCCUGCGUCAGCCAUACCCCACCUGCCUGCAGUUGCCUCUCAGUCUACUCAAACCAGGACGGACUGAUUAGAUUACAGCUCUCACAGUCCAGUGACUUCACUUCUGAAUAUUCCCGAAUCAAUACAGGAACUUUUGGGGGAUACCUCAUACCCCAAACAAUAACACUUUCUGAUAUUGCUCCUUUAUCUACAUUUAAUACGUAUUUUUAGUGGGAGUAUUUUCAGGUUGUUUAUUUCAUCUAAUAGCUAGAAAUAGAAGUAACACCAUUGUUUUGUACAUGUCAUCACUGAAUUCCUGCCUGAUGGUGUCAUGUAGGCUGGCAAGAAAUAAUUUCAUAAAUAAAGAGUAAAAUCACAUUAUUGGCAGUCUAAUCUAUACAAAUUAUUAUGUUAUUAGAAGUUGAAACCCCAAAUUAGUUAUUUAUGCUUGCUUUUAGAAUGAGCUUUGGUAUUCUUGGCAUUGUGUCUGUUGGAAUAAUGAUAUGUCAUAAUAAAGCAGUAAUUUCAAUAAAACUUAGUCAAAACAUGUAGUCAAUAUACAACUUGAAAUUUGUAUAUGUUAGAUAAAAAUAUAUAAUAUUCGAUACUAUAUAAUAUUAUAUGUAUAUGUGUGUAUAUGCAUGUGUGUGUGUGUGUGAUACUGAGAAUUGAACCCAGGACCUCCCACAUGCUAGUCGAGCACUCUACCACUGAGCUACACAUCCUUAGCUCCAUAAUAUAUUUUAUAACAUAGACAUAUAAAAUUUAUGUUAUACAUAAAUAUAACUUGUAUAAUAUAAACUGGAAGUUUCGAGUACAUAUAUUUGUACCUGUAAUUAUAUACAAUAUAAAUUGUAUAUAUUAUCUAUAAUACAUGUUUUAUAUAUAAUAGAUCUAUUUAAAAGUUGUCUAUUAUUGAUUUAAAAGUUGUCUUAAUAUAUUUUAUAACUUUCCUGGGAUACUUUCCCAAAUAGAUUACUUAGCAUUCUGGUUUCUCAAAAAAUUUUAACAAAAUGGGUUGUGAUGUCAAAUAAAAUUGGAACAUCCCCCUUCUUCUACCUCUUCUUGGUGAGUCAGAAGUGUGCCAGCUUACAUAAUCAUGGAGGGUUCCUGAGGUCAAGAAGUUAAUUUGGAUUUCAUUUACCCAGACAUGUCAGUCAGCUUUUUGUCAUUGAUGACCAAAAUACCUGAUAUGAACAACUCAAAGGAUAAAAGACUUACUGUGGCUCAUGGUUUUGUAGGUUUCAGUUGGCCAGCUCCAUUGCUCUGAGCCUGUGCCAGGUAGAACGUCAAGGUGGGAGGGCGUGGUGGAGGAAAGCCACUCAGCUCAUGGCAGCCAGAAAGUAGAAAGUGAGAGAGAGGAACAGACCAGGGAAAAGAUAGUCCCUGAGGACACUCCCCCAGGGACCUACUUCCUCCAGCCGGACCCCACCUGCCUACAGUUUCCACCACCUCCCGCAGCUGUCAAUAGACUAAUCCACUGACGAGUCAGAGUCUUUUCAUGAUCCAGUCACCUCCCCACACUCCACGUCUGAACGUUGCUGCCUGGGGACCAACAUGUGAGCCUUUGGAGGAUCCUUCAUAUCCAAACACAACACCCAGGGGUUUCAAGCCUGUCCUAUGAAAGAAACAUUCUUCAUUGUUCUAAGUAACAUUUAUUAGCAUUCUGUUCUGUAAAACACAACUUGGGAAACGCUGUUCUAUUAAUAAUUUGAGUUUGUUAAUAAUGAGUUUGUCAAGAUAUUCAUUCUUUUCCAAGCAAGAAGUAUUCCACACACUCUUACCUUAAGUGUUUUAUUUAUUUAAAAUGAAUUUAAAUUGACACAUGAAAUUAAAUAACAAAAUUCUCCCCAUAGAAAAUGCAGUCAUUUUGUUAUCUAAAAAUGCACCUAUUUAUUAAAUAUGAUUCUUAAAAAGUGAGGUCAAAAUCUAUAAAAGCUAACUUUAUGGUAAAAAAAAAAGCACUUUCAAGUAUUUCUAUGUAUCUUUUUAAAAUAAUUUUUUAUUUUGAGAAAGGAUCUUGCUAAGUUGCUUAGGGCUUUGUUAAGUUUACUGAGGCUGGCUUUGAACUUGCAAUCCUCCUGCCUCAGUCUCCCAAGCUGCUGGGAUUACAGGCAUGCACCAUGGUGCCAGGCUGAAAGUAUUUUUUAAAAAUUAAAAAUAUUUAAAGUGGGACUGGGACUGUGGCUCAAGUGGUAGAGCACUUGCCUAGCAUAUGUAAGGCAUGGGGUUUGAUCCUCAGCACCACAUUAAAAAGAUAAAUAAAAUAAAGGUAUUAGGCUCAUCUACAACUAAAAAAUUAUUUUAAAAAUUUAAAAAAAUAUUUAAAGUUGAGUCAAAUUGUAUUUGUGACACUUUUUUUAUGCUGAAUAUUAUAUUGUUCAAGGUAGUAGGAAGAUUAGCAUAAAGUGGGUUAGUUUUGUAUUUCCAUUAAUAAAAUCUGGUCACUGGCCAGGUACAGUGGUACAUACUUUAAUCUCAGUGGCUUGGGAGGCUAAGGCAGGAGGAUCUUGAGUUUAAAGCCAGCCUUAGCAACUUAGUGAGGCCCUAAGGAGCUCAGUGAGACCCUGUCUCUAAAUAAAAUAUAAAAGAGGGUGGAGGAUGUGGCUCAGUGACUCAGUGGUUAAGUGCCCUGGGUUCAAUCCCUGGAACCAAAAUAAAUAAAUAAAUAGAUAAAUAAAAUUGGGGACAUAAGUGUUUGUAAAUAGCAAGGGCCUCAUUAUUGUAGUCUUUUACCUUUAGAUAGCCCACAGCUUGAACUCUCAGGACAGUAUGAUGGAAGUUCCAGUGUAUUUUAAAAACUGUCUACCUAUCUUUAUAAACCAUCCAUCAACCAAAUCCAUUAUCUCUGUAAUAUCACACAUGGUAGCAUGUUGAACACAGUUCUUCCUGUCUCUGAAUUUCCUUGAAACCACCAUAAGCUGAGAACAAACAUUAGUUGUCAUGUGCAGUGAAAUUCCAAAAUAAAAAAUGGAAAAAAUAAGACAAUAGAUGAGUGAGCAGCCAGUGUGCCUUCAAGACAUUAAACUAUGACUGCUGCUUGACUUCAACCUUCUAGAUCUUGGGCACAGUGUCUCUGUGUUCAAGCUGAACCCAGCACCAUACAGGGAAGGGGACUCUAGAAAAUAUCCUGCAAAGCCAGCUCAGAGGCCAAGGCUGAUGGUGAGGAUCCUUGAGGAGAAUUCCAGUGUGCUGCCUCCCCUCCUGCCCACCUCUCCACCUGGCAUGGGGACUUCUAGGUUAUGUUGUAGGGUGCUUCUGGGGAAUCACUCACAGGGCUUGAUGUACAUCCCUGGAAGUUUGGGGAACACAGGAAAUGGUCAUCUGUCAAGAAAAGCCUAAGGAUGAGAUGUAGCAGCUCCUGCCUGAUGACAUAUUGCCAAGACAGGAUUGCUUGGAAAGGCCAGCAUGGCCUGUGUCUGCCAGAGUCAGAAUGGAAGAUCCCUGAGGGCCAGGCAUGGACCUGCAGAGGAGUACUUGCACAGGGUUGAUGUUCAAUAGCACUCGUUGAAUGAAUGAAAACAUUUCAGUUAAUCUCCCCGAAUCCAGUUUUCUCUUCUUCCUUAAUAAGAGUAUCUUGGUUUUACUUGAAGGUGACAGUGUACUCAGCCAAAGGCCAGAUUGUCUGGUUUCCUUUGUACCAGGAUAUGACUUUGGCUGUGAUUUGAUCAGCCAUAAGAGAGCAGAAAUGUUAUGUGUAACUUCCAAGAAGGCUGCUUAAGGGGAGCUGCAAGGGGUCCCUUUUAGCUUUUCUAAGUGAACGUGAUGCCUGGAGGUCCAGCAGCCAUUUUAGACUGUGAGGUGGUGUUAAAGAUGAAAGCUGCAAGGUAAAAUGGAAAAGUGGCGAGCCAGUAACCAUUGUUGGUACUCUUCCACUGGGUUAAACAAGGCUAACAGUAUCAUCCCAGAUGUCUUUUGCCUAAUGCUUACUUAAAGUGUACAGAAAUUUGGGAGAGGAAAAACUGGCCCGGGGCUUCCAGUACUGAAGGUGGGGAGUGUUGUAUUCUCCAUGACAAUGAGAGUUCUUGAGGGUAGGGAUCCAGACAGGCACAGAACUGACUAAAAGACUAAAGAAUCAAGUCAUGGACUAGACCCUCUGCUUUUCUACAAAACUAGAGAGUUGUUGCAAGAAAAUCCUGGAAUAGGCCGGCUGUGAACCGUCACAUCCAGUCUGGCCCUGGACUGCUGCUUCUCCCAGAGCAUUAACCACCUGUGUGGACAGGGACAGGGUGUUCUUAGCCUCAUUUUAGCCAGAACAUGUGGUAAGUACCCAGAAAUGAUAUCAUCAAUUGUGCUUACAGUCGCAAAAAAGCAACGGCUCUGACAUUAGAAAAACACAGCAGUCUGUCUCAGCCCUUAAAGGGUGACACUCGGCUCCGGUUGAAGAUUUUCUUGGUGUGUCUUCACGUCUCUCAUUGUAGCAUCCUCUGUUUUUGGGCCCCCCUGCCCUCAGUAGUGUAGUUAGGCACAUGUCUCUGAGUGUGUGAGACACAGAGAGACAGAGAGAGGAGACACAGGGUCAGCCGGUUGGUUUUUCACUCUCUCGAUUUUUCUCUUCCGCUCUUCCUGGCUCUUCAUUUUCUUCUGGUCCUUUCUUCCAUUCAUUUGGCGCCUGUGUCCAGCCCCGUGAAAGAACUGAGCCACGCUGCACUUUCCUUAAUGACGUCUGUGAUUCUUUCUUCCUGUGGGGGACACGGGUGGCAGUCGCCUGGUAGGGAAGUGUUCCCCACCUGGUAGUCCAUCCUACAGAGAAGGGGCCCGUGGAGAAUGCAGCAGUGUGUCCACGCUCCCCCCCGGAUGACGGGAGGACUUUCCGGGUGCUGACUGCUACCAGGCCCAGGGGCCGAUCCAACCCGGUGACUGCUUCUGGAAUGCCCACCACAAUCCCUUCUUCCUCUGAGCGGGGCUUGGACGGCGCUCCUCAUCUGUGUUCUUCAAAUUCCUGGCUGCAGUGGCUCCUGUCGGCUUCCCUGGUGGUUGCCCAGAUCUUGGGUCACUCACGCCAGCCCGUUGCUGGGUUUCCCUUUCUCAGUCAGCUCCCUGAGGUUCCCAGGCUUGCUUGCAGCCUGCUGUGACCCCGGGGCCCAGCUGUACUCGCAGUCAAACCUUUGCACAGGCAGCAGCAUCUUUCCAGGGCCCAGCCCCGCCAGGACAGAGGGCCGGGGAGCGCGGAGUGUGUGCAUAAUUCCGGAGCCGAGCGCUGGCGGGCCGGCUGUAAUAAAGCUGUCUGUUAGGAAGUUAUCUUUCAUAUACAAUUGCUUCCCCUAAGCUCUUAAGCACAUUAACUGCACCUGUAAUUAUACACACCUCAGAAAAUGCAUAAAAGCUGUCUUCUUAGCCAGACUAAAUAAAACUGCAGUCUCCUUCAUAUCCUCUAUUGCCCGCUAUUCCUUAACGCUAGAGGGAAAAAGGAAAAAGAAAUGAAAGCCAGGAGAAGAGGUAAUUGCCCAUUAGAGAGUUGCUAAGAAGUGAACUUUGUCUCUCGUUUACAGCAUUAAUUUUGCUCUGCGUGAACUGCAUUUGACACGGCUCCGAGGGCCGGGAGUUCUGGCCGCUGACGCUGGCCGGGAGGUGGUGGCUGUCACUUUGCCUUCCCAGUGUGCCGAGAAGCACCACAGCGACAGGCUUCCCUCAGACUCUCAGGCGAGGCUCUGCGUCAGGUGGAGAGCUGGUGAUUUUUGCGGGAGCCUCUCCUUCCUUUCGCACUGACCUACUUCUUGCAUUUGACUAUUUUGUGUCAUUUGGCACUAAUAAGCCUGAAACCCCUGCUAGUUUCCUCCCUUAUGCCGCACUGAUCUCCUCCUCCCGUGGCUCCCACUCAGGUGUUUUGGGGGCUGGAGGGAGAGACCAGUUCCCUGAAUCUGGGGUCUUCAGGCACAAGUCCUUCCGGCUGGCUUGACCGCCAACAGCAGGGCCCCCAGUCAGACGUACUCCUCACAUCGGCAGAAAGCAGGUGAUGGGCAGUGACUUGGCAUCACCCACGUUCACAACCUGCUGUAAUAUAAGCCAUUCCCUGUACAGUGUCAGUAGAAUUAAUUGGCUGGUAAUCCACAGGAGCCGUUUGGAUCACCUGCAGUUUGUUUUAUGAGUCCUCUAGGAUCAAUUUCAUGUUUGAAUGACUAUUCCUAUCAUAUGUUUACAUACACCGUUGUCCUUUGUAUUCAUAGAUGACUCGGUUGCCUUUUUACUCCCCAGGCAUAUUCUUUCUGGAAAGGAAAGGCCAAAAUAGUACCCAAAACUCUUUUGGAAAUUACCCAUGAUUUGUCCACACCUCAUUUCAAAUUCGUGGUGAUGAGCUAUGGAGGGAACAACAACAAUACACACACACACACACACACACAACCAUGAAAAGGCAGAGCACCUGCCCUCAAGGAUCUUACCAUCCCCCCCUCCCCUAGGAGGAAAACAUAAAAGGAAACAGACCAGAGUAAUUGCAGAGGACACAUGAGAAGUGCAGGACCAAGAAGUGACAUUGAAAGAGAAUCCUGUUUCCAGGAGGGACCAGCUCUUGAUGGGACAUAGAUUCUCAGUCUUUACCAACCGCAGGGACAAGCUGCUUAUUCAAAGAGCCCACAGCCCAUGCACCUUUCUUGCCUUGAGGAAGGUCCUUUUUCUUAGCAUGCCCUGGACCUUCUCAGCUGAUCUGCAAAGUGAAGGGAGAACUCGAGGAGGCUGCUGUGUCAGUUGUGUGGAGAGAGUGGAUUUAGUGUUAUGAUUUAAAGAAUAUGAAGUUCUACUGUCCGAAGAAUGGAAAGAUCAGGAAGGCCAGAAGAGGAGGAGCCGGGGUAAAAGGUAGGAGGGGCCACCGAGAGGCCAGGGCUGGGGCAUGGGGAAGAGGGGGGCUGAUGAGCUGCCUCAUAGUGUCAAGACUGCUGCAGGAGAAAUCGGGAAGUGGGGUUUGGGGCACGUUCUGCUCCUUGUGUAUCACUGAGAGGGCUCCCUUUGGGGCUCUUGUAGAGUCAUCAGUAAAAAUGUGGCUUUGCAAGGAUUUUCAGAGUCCGAUUUAUGUUCCUUGGUAGUGCGUGGCAGUGUGCCAGGUUAGCACUGGAGGAGAGAGGCUGCUCUGAGGCCCAGCUACUGCAGAGGCAGGAGCAACCUGACUUCUCCCAUUGAGAUGUAGUAUUGCAGCAGCAAAGAAAGAGAAGGAAAUACACUCCUUAGAGUGUUCAUGAUGUGACAGGUAUCCCAUUACAUCUGGACGUUUGAUUUGUUGUGAGGGACGCGAGCAGGUCUGUAGGCUCAUCCAUUCGUCAUUUAUUCAUUCAUUCAACAGCAAGACAGACGAAGCCCUGGCAGAGUCCUCAUGUGUUCACAUUAGUAGAACGUUUUCAUUAUUGGAGUUGGAUUUUGCUGUUUUCCUGCUUUGGCAGAUCUGGGGAUUGUUCAGAUAUGACUCAAGCCUCAUACCUAUGGCCAAGAAAGCUUUGUUGAUCAGUGUUGAAACAAAUAAACACUUGUUUGGCAGUUUGGCAGGUCUGCAGAUGGGUGUUGGUCUCUCUGUGUCAAAGUUCCCUGAGCUACUUAUUACCAGUGCAGAAUCCUGGUCCCUCAUGCAGCAGGGUGGAAUUCCCAAGAUCCAGGGCAGGGCCAGAGAAUGAGCACUUUUAAAACAAAUUUUCACAUGUGCAAUUCAGGGUUCAAUCUUGGUGGUGUGCUUUCUAUGGGUUUUUAUAAGUGAAUGAGACCUAUAUCCUCCAUGAAGCUACUGCUCUGGAAAUCCUCUGUGCUCUACCUACAUAUUCUUCCCUCUCCUCCAAGUCCUGGCAGCUGACUCCAUCACUGGAAUCAUAAAGGAUGUAGCCUUUCACCUUGGCUUCUUUUCUUAGUCAUUUGCAUUUACAUUUCCUCCCCGCUUUACAUGGCUUGAUAGAUUGUUUCUUUUCAGCGUUGAAUCAUAAUCCAUUAUCUGGUUGUACCACAGUUUCUCCAUUCAUCUAUUGAAGCACAUCUUGGCUGCUUCCAAGUUUUGGCAAUUAUGAAUAAAGAUGCUAUAAAUACAUGUUGCAGGAUUUUGUGUGGAGAUAAGUUUUCAAUCUAUUCAGAUGAAUGUCAAACGCAUGAUUGUUGACUCAGGUGAAGAGCAUGUUUAAUCUGGUAAGACAUUGCCAAACUGUCUUUCGAAGUAGCCAUGCCAUUUUGCAUUCUCUCCAGCAAUAAAUGGGGGUUCCUGUUGUUUCACAUAGUUGCCAAUAUUUGUUCUGAUUUUGGCUAUGAUAGGUAUGAGGUGAAACUGUACAAUAGGGGCAAAAUUUGCAGUUCCCUAAUCCCAUGUGAUAUGGAGCAUCUUUCCUCACUUCUUUUUAAUACCUGAGAUGAUUGGCAGUAGUGAAAUCCAUUUGUGACUUUUUCUUCCUCUCAUGCGCAGGGCUUGGAGAGGUGGAAUUUCUCUAUUCUCCAGUGAAAAUAUUGCAAAGCUGCCAUUAUGUACAGGCUCUUAGGACAAUAAAGCUUGAUGCUUUAUUGGAAUAUCUUCACCUUUUGAAAUACCUUUAUUAUAAUUUAUGUAAAGUUUCUUUGGGAAUUUGAAUGGUAUCGACCUCAUCAUUCCAAAUGAAGGAAGGAAAAUCCUAUGGUAACUGGAGACAAAGCCUCCCAGGAUACUCUCAGGACAAGGUUUUCCAAGGGUCUUCUGUUAGGGAGGUUAGUAAUGGAGGUGGCAUCUUGUAAACUUAUUUUUGUUAUAGUUUUUCUUUAUAGUGGGCAUGGCAAGGAAAGUCAGGAAAUUAGGUUUUGUGACUAAUGUCUGCUCAAGUCUCUUUUUGUCCAUUGUCUAACUGCCAAUGCCAGGGAAAAGGGUCAGGUGAGGCAGUUAAUGUCAGGAACCAGCUAAUAUCUCCCUUUUAGGAUAUAGAAACACAACCCAGACAACUGGAUUGGUUAUCUUGGUUUUGAUGUUAAUGGACCAUGGGAAGAAAUUGCAUUCAUUCUCUUUACAAAUGAAGUAUUUUGUCCCUUUUGUAUGGUUUCAAAAUUUAGAAGUUUCCAAGUACCAGAGCCCUAGUGAUGAACAGUUUAGUAGGUGGCACCAUUUCAUAGUCUUGUCCUAAAAUAAGUGGCUAAGCUUUGUGGAAAAUGACCUACCUCAUGCUUCCAAUGAUGGCCUUAGAAUUGGAAACGUGGAAGAUUUGGGAAUGACUGGGGAUGAUUUUUCGUAUUUCUUUUUCUCCAAGCUUGAAAAGGUAGCAUAUAUUUGUAGGUGGUCAUUUUUGCAAAAAUGUUUGCAGUAAGGAUACAGCUCACCUGUUUAGAGUUUGAGCUUGUGGGUCCUCCUACUUUGCACAUUGAAAGUGGCCUUUGUGUAAAACUUAGCUCACGUGAGCACUUAGGGGCACAUUUUUCUCACCCCCCAAGAACAAAUUUUUGUUUCCAAAAACCAGUUAAGGAUGAUGGUGGAUUGAACAAACAUUUAUAGCUGCUCAUCCACAACAGCAUUAAAAUGUUGAUAAUGGAAUAAAAAAGGCAAAGACAUACAAGUAGAAAGAGAAUUGGAGAGCAUGCCUCUGUAGGCCACCACGCUGUGGAGGUUCUACAGUAGAUGGACAUGGCCAGAGAUUUUGCAGAAGAGAGGAAGCUAAACUUAAGCUGCCCAAGGAAGGAACCCAGAUGUAGGCUUAUGGAGCCCCAAACCCUAGGACACCUCUGGAACCAGAGGUAGCAGGAACCUCCUGGAGGUGGGCCUCCUCAGAAGGACUGGUUGAACGCCUUCUGUGCAGCACUUAGUUCUCGACCCCAGCCAGAGCAGAAGAUGAGUACUCUAUGGUCUGAAGAGACUUAAGCCGAGAGACCUUGGGGACACCAGGCUCUGCGGAAGGCAGGAGCCACAGUGAAAACAAGGAGUCCAGGAGAAGUCUACACAUUAAGCGUCUGCUUUGGGGCUCUUCUUCCUGUUCAGAUUAGGAAUCUCUUUCGAGAGACUGCGCAUCACCCCUGUGCCAUGGUGGCCUGAUAAUGGUGGACCCAGGCAGAUCCAGCUGCUCUCUCAGAUGUGCUGCUCCUUAGCUGAAUAGCUUUGAAGAAGUUAAUCUCUAUAACCCUCAUCGCGAUUGUGGAUAAGAGGAGCUUUCAUCUAUAGGGAUGCUGGGAGCACUAAGGGAGCGAUGGGUAUAAAAACUCCAAGAAAAGAUCCAACUAUUUCUGAAAUAGUUUUUGAAUGACUGUCUAGAAAUGUUUUCAGUGCUCCUGCCAAGAAUGUAUUCUUUUUAUCUGACUCUUUAGAAUUCUGUCCAAUAGAUAACAUAAUAAAUAAUUAACAGGACUUUUCUAACCCUCCCCUUACAGCUGUGGUGACCAUAUUUAAAAUGUUAGCCACAGUACAAACCUGAUUAGAUGAUUCCUUUUAAACUAGUUUCAAAUCAGCUUAAUCACCCUCUCUUUUAAGUCCUUUCUUUUAUCUCAAGUGUGCAUCAGUUUCACAUCCUGAAUACUGUUUCAAAGAUGUAGCUUUGAUUUGAGCACCAGUUGUGAUCCAGAGUGCAUUUUACGUACGACUCGGCUGCACUCUUUCUAGACAUCAGUCUCUCAUAGACUCCCUGACAUCUCACCAUUAUUGAAUGAACAUGGUUUAUACGUAUAUCUUAAGGAAUGUCAAUCUAAAUUAAAAGACGCCACAUUUUUAACAGCACCAACAGGUUUCCUAAUUAACCCACGAAUACUGUCAAUCUGCUAAUAUAGUUCUCUUGUUCUUUUAGAAUCAAGUUAUAGAACAUUUCUUUUAUUUACUCUACUAGUUUCAGAACUAGAUUGUUCCUUAGGGUAUUCCCAGCUUUCUUUCAAAAGUAAAGCAAAUAUGAGUAACAUGAAUUAAAUCAUCAAAUGGGUGGACAACUUGUAGCUUCUAGAAUUUUUUUUUCUAAAAAAUUCAGGGAGUUGAACUCUGAGCCUUGUCCUCUGUGCAAUGCCUCUUGUCUAUAAGAUUCUGUGCUUAAAGAAUUCUUGCAAUGAGGUGGGUUCCUGGUGUUAUUUCAAGGAGCCUAUAGGUAAUAGCUUUUAUCAUCCUUGGUCUGGCUCUCAUGACAAAAUUGCUACCCACCCCCUGCCAUAGACCUUAGCGUGCAGAACUAGGUUAACCACGGUCCUUGUUUCACGAGUCACUCUCCACCCAUGCAGUAUAAUGGAUGCCUGAAGCCCCACCACUCACCCCAAUAAGCAGAACUGCCACAGUCUGGAUCUUGAACAUCCCCCAAAGCCCACGUGUUAAAGGCUGGGUCCUCAGGGUGGGGCCACUGGGAGGCAGUGAAAUGGUGCAGACUUGCAGGCAGUCUUUGGAUCAGCCGGGGCAGACCCUUGAAGGGGAUUGAGGAGCCUGGCCUUUGCCUCUUUCUCUUUUGCUUCCUGGCCACGAGGCGAACAUGUCACAUGCCCCCAUCAGAGGCCCAGAGCAACGCAUCUGCCCAAUCCUGGGCUGGACAUUCCAAAACCAUGAGCCAAAAUAACCCUUUUCUUUUGUAAGUUUAUAUCUCCAAUAUUUUGUUCUCGUGACAGACAGCUGACUAACGAGGACAUUGAUAAGAACUUCUACCCAGGUGCUUUUCCCUCGUCCUCACUCUCCACUCUUCAUGGGGUCUUUGGGGCUAGCUUUUUCUUCCCUUUCAGUUUUUUCUUUUAAUUAUUCAUCACGUCCUAAGAUACAUCCAUUUUGUAGAAAGUAGCUAUGAUUUUUACUGCUGGGUAUUCUGCUCUGUGGUUAUAGGAUGCCUUUUGUAUUUGUUUUCCUAUAAAAAAUGGGCACAAUCUGCAUCUUUACCAUGCCAACUCUUGGCACAACUUUAGGACAGAAAAGUAGGACAGAGUUUGUCCGUGGGACCUUUGGCAUGUUUUCCCCUCUUGUUCUCAGGCAAUCAUCUGAAUGUUGUGCUCGCAAACCACAGACUACAAUAAAUGUUUAUUGAACCAAUAUUGUAAGUGACAGAUGAAAUUUAGGGCAACUGCAGUCAAAUGAGGCUGCCCAGGUGCCCAGGUGAAGAAGACUGUGCAGCCUCAUCUUGGCUCGAUGGGAAGAGUCCCACAGUCGAUGACCAGAGACCAUGCCUGAGUGGAUGGGGUUGGUAAGGCGGGAGCUCAGAAGCCACUUACCACCACCUGGGCUUCACGUGCUCCUUGCCUCAUGCACUUUUAAGAACUAGCUAGAUUCAUGGGCAGGGAGAAAAAGGGAUAAAACUUCCAUUGUGGAAUUGCAGGUUCCAGCCAGAUGGGGGAUGCCGAUGUUUUGGAGGUGGCAUUGGGCACUGGAAAUGAUCAAAAGAUUCCUGGUGCUCUGUCUACUCACAUUUUCAAAAGUUCAUCUGGUCCUUAUUAUAUGUUAAAUACCUAAAUUGGGCAGAGUGGCAUAUGCCUAAUCCCAUCUACUUGUUAAGUUGAGGAGGAUCACAAGUUUGAGACCAGCCUGGGCAACUCUGGGAGACCCUGUCUUAAAAUAAAAAAUAAAAAUCUAAUAUAAAAUCAUGCACAUUGCUCAGGAAGGUAAUUUAGUAGAGGAUGUUAUUUUUCAUUCUUAUGGAUAAAUGCAGAUUUUCUGUUUAAAUCUUUCAGUUAUUAAUAUGGAAAAUGACACAAUAAUAUGAUUUUAGUUGUUUAAAUGUAGGGUGAAGAAGUGUUAAUCAGAAUAUUUUAUAGCUGUGCUCCUUUCCUUGAAAUUUUUCUUUCUUUAUGUUUUGUUCUGAUUCAAGUGUUGGUAGCAACACUGGAUUUAGUGAUAUCACUUCCAACUUUAGCUUCACUUGUGAAUGGCAUUACCAUAAGCUGUUAGAGCCAGGAUAAAUAGCAAUAUCCUCUAUUUGAGUGUGUUUCAGAGCCAUGGGCCACGUGCAUGGAACCUCUGAGGACAUUGCAUGGAUUGCACAUUCCUGGGGUUCCAUUCCUGACAAUAAGUUGCGGGACUGACUCUGAGGCACAUUGAUCUGUUCGAAAUCUCACUCCACAGUGGAGGAAACUGAAAUGAGAAGUUCGUGACUUAUGCAAGUUGAGAUCUAUCAGGUUCUUAUCUGGGUAAUCCCCUGAGGUGAGGUUGUGGCCAAAAGUCCACAUGUCUGUUCUCAGUUUGUUUGGUGGGAUAAAAAAAUGUGUUAUUCUCAACCCCAAGCUCAUAGGCUGCAGAUGUGCCUAAAACCCCUUUAAUUAGAGUUUAAUCCUUUCCCGUUACCCUGUUAUUUUUAAUGCAAUUGCUUGAUAUUAUUGUACAUCCUUGAAGAGUUCUUAAGGUCCCUGCUAUGACAGUGUCACAAUUCUGGACACAAGGGAAGAAAAUACUCAGCACCCUCAUUCAGACUAUGCCAGGAGCCAAGACUCCUUUCCCCAAAGACACCCCAGUCUUGCAACACAGAAGAACAAUGACAUCUCAACACCUGCUUCCUCAAAGUUCCUCUUUGUUUAGAAAAUGCAGCAGCUUGUUUUAUGAUUCAGUUGAAGAAAUGGAAUUGUACUGGCUACAGAGUAAGCCAUCAGGUCCAGGUCUCCUGAUGUCUUGAUCCUUGGCUGUCAUUGAGUUCAUCUGGAGAGGCACAGACCUGGAAGGCAACCUUAAUUAGGCUAUUUCUAAGACAUUCGGGAUCAGUCUUAUAUUUAUACUGUAUAUGUAUUAAUUUUAUUAGUGUAACUUGGUAGGCACUGGUCUAGCCUUCUUUAAAUUGUCAUACCAUACUGGGUGUGGUGGUGCACACCUGUAAUCCCAGCUACUCAGGAGGCUGAGGCAGGAAGAUUACAAUUUUGAGGCCAGCCUAGGCAAUUUAGCAAGACCCUUAAAAAAGUGGUGGUGGUGGGGAGUAGGAAUAUAGCUCAAUGGUAGAGUGCUUGCCUAGCAAGCAUGAGACUCUGGGUCCAUCCCUAGCACUGCGAACAGCAAUGACAAGAAAACCUACCUCAUCACCUGGACCUGUUGUAGUGUUUAAAAAAAACAGAACCAAUGGCAUCAAUCAAAGUAAACAUGGGCUGGAUGUGAGCUUACCUGUGUGAUUAGUCACUAUCCUGCCUUCUUCUGCUUCUCAAAAAAGGUUUCUUGAUUUCAACAAACUUUAAAAUAUUUAUGUACUUUAUUUGUUUUUCUGGGGAUUGAACCUAGGGCCUUGUGCAUGCUAUGUGGGCAUUCUAACCCUGAGUUACAUCCCCUGCCCUUUUAUAAUUUUUGAAUCCCUAAGGAUUUCAAAUCCAAUGAUUUAUUAUGCUUUAAUAAUUUUUUUUCUUGAAAUAUUGCAUGUGUGGCGUUUUUCAGCUAUGUUGUAUAUAUGGAUAGCUGGUUCCUGUUUAUUCCCGAGUAGUGUCUGUUCCAUGAAUUACCACAAUUUAUCUGAUUGGUGGUUGCUGGACGUCUGAGUUGUUUAUAGUUUCAGGGACAAUGAACUAGCUGCUAUAACACUCCAGUGUAGGUGUUUGUGUAACCCUAAGUUUUCAUUACCGUUGGGUAAAAGCCGAGGAGUAGAAUUACUGGGUCACAUGGUAAGUGUAUAUCUAACUUUUAAAGAAACUACAAAGCUGUUUUACAAAUUGGUCACACCAUUUAGCCUUCCCACCAGCAGUGUGGAGUUCUAUUUGCUGAUUGAAACGGUUUUGGGUGGAAGCAUAAGAAGGAAGGAAUAGGCUGAUUUUUAUAGGACAAAUAUGCUCAACUGGGGCUGAUUUACCAUUGCUGUGGGUAGUGGCCACAGCUGGUGCUCAGAAUCCGGUCAUCGUCUCCGAAUGAAGUAGCUCACUUUGUCAGACUUUCAUCACCCUGUGGUGGCUGAGAGCAUUGCCACUGAGGGCUGCUCGAGGACACAGGGCCUGGUCUUGGGCAUCCUUGUUGUCUCACCUCCUAGCAGUGUCUGGUGCACAGUGGGUCUCAACAGCAUUGGCUGAUUUGAGUGGCAUAUGUCACGGGUGGCCAGAGAGUGCCAGGGAAGGGAAAUCCAAAGUGGGAAUUGCCUAUUUUCCUUUUCUGUUGGGGAGAAGGCACUAAUGGUCAUGAAUUUCACCUAAAAACAGUAGAUAUGGGAAAGAACUGAAGAACAACCAAAUAUAUAAUGUCUGUUGGGAAGGUCCCAUUGAAGGGAGAGUAUGAAACCACUGGAAAACAUCAAGAGCAAGUCUAUUUUUGAUUCAAAACAGCAAGAGGUACAAGACUUUCGUUCACCAUACCACACCUUAAUUGCUCUGACCAUGUGCACCAGUACGAGGACCUGGAUAUAUUUGGGAUCUUUAGAUGCUGCCCGAUUUCCGCUUUGGCUUAGGUGUAGUAAGACCUGCGAUGCCUGCCUGCUGAUAGCUCCUGCUCCAAGGUGCACCUUCCUGCAUUGUUAGCGACCUUGCCUUUAGAUCAUUCCCUGCCUCUUCUCUUUCGUUUGUUGUUGUGAGGUAGCUGGCGAGAGUAAAACCUCCAAGUGCAGAAAGCGAGGGUGUCACUCAUUCUUAAAGUACUAAGACACUGGACUCUCCUAUAGAUGUUUCCAUUUAGCAAGCAAAGCCAUAUUCUUCCUCCUUCCUCACUUCCCCACCUCCACUUUGAUUCCUGAGAGCAAAUUCAGGGCCUCUUGAGUUUGAACCACCUUAGAUUAAUUGGCACUAAUGCAAGUGUUCGUUGCUGUGCGUGGGAUGUUGCCGAGUGCAAAAUAGAUUCUGUCUGUGCCCGGGAAUGGUUUUUUCUCUGCAGGUGUGUGAUUUAUUGUUCUGUGAAAUGUGCUACUGGGUGCCACUGCUGUCCCAGAAGCAGCACAUUCAGCUGCCAACACAGAAGGACUUGGGCACAGACAUGUGCUUAUGGCCAUUUACAAUUUAAGUUGAUCUUACUGGACGUGCUCCUCAUUGCCAUACAAGCAACUAUAGAAACUAGGAACUUUCCGUCAAGUGGAAACAGUCCCAGAAGGAUGUGGGUGCCUUGGAGGAAGGGGGUCUCAUCACCAGCAGAGCCCAGGUAGUUGUGUGGGAGUGAAGGGAGUACCCUAGAGGUGGCCAGAGCUGGGACAUGAUGGGGUUUGGGUCCCAGAGGCCAGGAUUCAGGACUGCUCUCUACUCUGUAAUUGUAGGUAAUUUACUUAAAAUUCCGAGCUAAAGAUUUCUCAAACGGCAUUCUUUACACUUAGAUCAGUCAUCUUACAAAUUGUUUUCUCUUCAUGCCACUUGCUCUGUGUUCCUUUUAAUCUCCUUUCUUGCCCAUUUUUUGGAUUAGUUAGGUAUUUAAAAUUUGUUCCAUGUCUUCCCUCUGUUCUAUGUUCCUUUGCAGGUUACACAGGAGCCUGGAGAUGACCAGAGCACUGCCUUACUGAGUUCCAACUCAACACCAUACACAUGUAUCUUCUUGGACAAUGCCCGGACCUAAAGAUUUCAUUUCAUUUACUUUCAGUCCUCCCUCUUAUGUGGUUCUUUUCAUGUAAUUUAAUAUUUUUUAUAUUUAAAACAUCACAAAAUGUCAUUGUUCUAAAAAUGUUUAAUUUACUUGUUCAGUGCCCCUUUCUUACCCUUCAUUUCUUUCUGUAUGUGGUAGACAGAGCAAGGACCCUCACCCCCCCCCCACCCCCAAGAUGUCUGCACCUAAUCUCUGGAUGCUAUGAUUGUGAUAGGUUCUAUGACCAAGGAGAGUUAAGAGUCCAGAAGGGAUUGAGACUGAUGGUCAGUUAUUCUGGAUUAUCCUGGAAGGGCUCAGUCACAAGUGUCCUUAAAUGUGUAAGAGGGAGGCAGAAGAGGAGAAUGGCAGUGUGAGACCCAGCCCGACAUCACUGGUGUGCUACCAGGAUCCCAGGUGAGAUGGCUGGACCUGGAAAAGUCAGGAAUGGAUCCUCCCAUGAGUCUCCAGAAAGGAAUACAAACUGCUGACACCUUUAGUAUAGUCCUGUGGGACCCAUUUUGGAUUUCCAAUCUCUAAGACUAUCGGAAUAUAUUCACGUUCUUUUAAGUCACUUCUCUUUAUUUGUUGUAGCAGCAAUAGGAAACUAAUACGCUCUAUCUCUGUGCUUUCCUUUGGGAUCACUUUGCUUCUAUUGAAGGACUUGUUUUAAUAAUUUUCUUUAGGGUGGGCCCAGUGAUGAUGAAUUUUGUCAGAUCCUGUUUGGCUGAAAAUGUUUUAUUAUGCAUUCAUUUUUCACUUUGUAAUUUCAUUGGCCUCUGCUCUUCUUUCCUUCCUUUUGACAUGUUUAGUGUUACAGAUUUCUUACUGAAUGCUGCUUUAGUUACAUCCUACAUUUUUUCUUUUUUCUUUUUUUAGCAAAGGAGAAAUACAGGGAAUUCCUGUCUCAGAGGUUGUCAUUCUGUCCAUCAGAAUGGCUUUUAAAGAGGUGAUUCAAAGGCUACAUUCCUAUGUUCUCUGUUGGAGUUGUAAUUCACUUGUUAAUUUGGGAGAUAGGAAUUUCCUGAGAUCUUCUAGUACCAUCCUCAAAGUCUGGAUUACUUCUUUCCUAUAGUGGGUAUGUACUCAAGGGCAGAUAAAUCUGCCUAAGAUGGACAUCCUACAAAUUUUGAUGCUAUAUUUUCAUUUUUACAUAGUUUAAAAUAUUAAAAAACUCAAUAGAUAGCAUCACCAACAGACUAGACCAUUUGGAAGACAGAUCUUCAGACAAUGAAGACAAAAUAUACAAUCUUGAAAAUAAAGUUGACCUCACAGUGAAGAUGGUAAGAAACUAUGAACAGAACAUCCAAGAAUAAUGGGAUACCAUCAAAAGAUCAAAUUUAAUAUUUAUUGGGGUAGAGGAAGGUUCAGAGAUUCAAACCAAAGUAAUGCAUAAUCUCUUCAAUGAAAUAAUAUCAGAAAAUUUCCCAGACAUGAAGAAUGAAUUGGAAAAAUCAAAGACAAGAGGCCUAUAGGACACCAAAUAUACAAAAUUACAACAGAUCUACACCAAUACAUAUUAUGCCUAGCAUAGAGAAUAAGGAUAGAACUUUAAAGGUCGCAAGAGAGAAAAAUCAGAUUACCUAAAAGAGAAGACCAAUUCGGAUCUUAGCAGAUUUUUAAACCCAGACUCUCAAAGCCACGGCCAGUCUUGGAACAACAUAUACCAAGUUCUAAAAGAUAAUGGAUGCCAACCAAGUAUCUUAUAUCCAGCAAAGUUAAGCUUCAAACUUGAUGGUGAAAUAAAAAUCUUCCAUGAUAAACAAAAGCUAAAAGAAUUUGCAGCAAGAAAGGCUAUACUACAGAAUAUUCUUAGCAAAAUAUUCCAUGAGGAGGAAAUGAAAACCAACAAUAAAAAUCUGCGAAGGGAAGAACUCCAAUAAAAGAAAAGCCAACCAAAGGAGAAAUCAAGUCAAGCUAAAUACCAAAAAAAUAAACAAAAAUGUCUGGUAAUACAAAUCAUAUUUCAAUAUUAACCCUAAGUGUUAAUGGCUUAAACUCAUCAAUCAAAAGACAUAGGCUUGUAGAUUUGUAGAUUUAAAAAAAGACCCAACAAUAUGCUGCCUUCAAGAGAUUCAUCUCAUAGGAAAAGACACCCAUAGACUGAAGGUGAAAGGUUGGGAUAAAAUAUACCAUUUACAUGGCCUACAUAAGUUCAUACUACUUAACAGAACCAUACGUCAACAAGAAAUUAUAGUUCUAAAUAUAUACACCCCAAACAAUGGAGCAUCUACAUUCAUCAAUCAAACUCUUCUCAAGUUCAAGAGUCAAAUAGAUCACAACACAAUAAUUCUGGAUGACUUUAACACUCCUCUUUCACCAAUAGAUAGAUCUACCAAACAAAAGCUAAACAAAUAAACUAUGAAACUCAAUAAUCAAUAACUUAGACUUAACUGACAUACAUAGAGUGUAUUACCCAUUGAAGAGUGAAUACACUUUCUUCUCAGCAGCACUUCUCUAAAAUAGAUCAUAUGCUAUGCCACAAAGCAAAUCUUAGUAAAUACAGAAAAGUAGAGAUACUACCCUGCAUUGUAUCAGACCACAAUGGAAUGAAAUUAGAAACCAAUGAUAAAAUAAAAAAUAAAAGUUACUCCAACACUUGGAGACUAGAUAAUACACUAUUGAAUGAACAAUGGGUUGCAAAAGAUAUCAAAGAGGAGAUUAAAAAAUUCUUAGAAGUAAAUGAGAACACUGAUACAACAUAUUGAAAUUUCCAGGACAAUAUGACGGCAGUGCUAAGAGGAAAGUUCAUUGCUUGGAAUUCAUUCCUUCAAAUGAGAAAAAGUCAACAAAUAAAUGACCUAAUAUUAAAUCUCAAAGAUAUGAACAAAUCAACCUCAAAAGCAGUAGGAGACAGGAAAUAAUUAAAAUUAGAGAUGAAAUCAAUGAAAUUGAAACUAAAGAAACAAUUGAAAAAAUUGACAAAACAAAAAGUUGGUUCUUUGGGAAAAAUUUUAAAUAAAAUUGAUAAGCCAUUAGCCAUGCUAAUGAAGAGAAGGAGAGAGAAAACUCAAAUUAUUAACAUGCAUGAUGCAAAAGGAAAUAUUACAAUGGACACUACAGAAAUGCAGAAGACAAUUAGAAACUAUUUUGAAAAUUUGUACUCCAAUAAAUAGAAAAUAUCAAAGACAUCAACACAUUUCUAGAGGCAUAUGAUAUACCUAAACUGAUAUACACAAUUUAAACAGAUCAAUUUCAAGCAAGGAAAUAGAGGAUGCCACACACAAUUGAAUUCUAUAAGACCUUUAAAGAAGAACUAAUACCAGGACUUCUCAAACUAUUUCAUGAAAUAGAAAAAGAGGGAGCACUUCCAAACACAUUCAUUCUAUGAGGCCAAUAUCACCCUUAUUCCAAAACCAGACAAAGACACAUCAAAGAGAGAAAACUUCAGACCAAUAUCUCUAAUGAAUAUAGAUGCAAAAGUUCUCAAUAAAAUUCUGGCAAACUGAAUACAAAAAUACAUCAAAAAGAUCUUUAGAACACUAAAGAAAUGCAAGGUUGGCUCAACAUAUGGAAAUCAAUAAAUGUAAUUCGUCACAUCAAUAGACUCAAAGAUAAAAAUUAUAUGAUCAUCUCAAUAGAUGCUGAGAAAGCAUUUGAUAACAUACAGCAUCCCUUCAUUGUUCAAAAUGCGUGGAAAACAUUCCUCAAUAUUGUAAAGGCUAUGUUAAGCCCCAGGCCAACAUCUUUCUAAAUGGAGAAAAAUUGAAAGCAUUCCCUCUAAAAACUGGAACAAGACAGGGAUGCCCUCUUUCACCGCUUCUAUUCAACAUAGUUCUUGAAACACUGGCCAGAGCAAUUAGACAAAAGAAACUAAAGGGAUACGGAUAGGAAAAGAAGAACUCAAAUUAGCACUAUUUGCAGAUGAUAUUAUUCUAUACCUAGAAGAUCCAAAAAGUUCUACCAGAAAACUUUUAGAACUAGUAAAUGCAUUCAGCAAAGUAGCAGGUUAUAAAAUCAACACCCAUAAAUCAAAGGCAUUUCUGUAUAUCAGGGACAAAUCCUCUGAAAGAGAAAUUAGGAAAACUAUCCCAUUUACAAUAGCCUCCAAAAAAAAAAAAAAAGAAACUUGGGAAUCAACUUAACGAAAGAGGUGAAAAACGUCUAAACUACAGAACACUAAAGAAAGAAAUUAAAGAAGACCUUAGAAGAUGGAAAGAUCUACCUUGUUCUUGGAUAUGCAGAAUUAAUGUUGUCAAAAUGACCAUACUACCAAAAGCACUAUACAGCUUUAAUGCAAUUCCAAUCAAAAUCCCAAUGGCAUUCCUCAUAGAAAUAGAAAAGCAAUCAUGAAAUUCAUCUGGAAAAAUAAGAGACCAGAAUAGCCAAAGCAAUCUUUAGCAAGAAGAGUGAAGUAGGUGGCAUCAGUAUACCAGACUUCAAACUAUAUUAUAGAGCAAUAGUAACGAAAACAGUAGGCUAUUGGCACCAAAAUAGACAGGUAGACCAAUGGUACGGAAUAGAGGACACAGAGUCUAACCCACAUAACUUCAGUUAUCUUAUAUUAGACAAAGGCACCAAAACAUACACUGGAGAAAAGAUUGCCUCUUCAACAAAUGGUGCUGGGAAAACUGGAAAUCCAUAUGCAACAAAAUGAAAUUAAGCCCCUAUCUCUCACCAUGCACAAAACUCAACUCAAAGUGGAUCAAGGACCUAGGAAUUAAACCAGAGACACUGUGCCUAAUAGAAGAAAAAGUAGGCCCAAAUCUUCGUCAUGUUGGAUUAGGCCCUGACUUCCUUAAUAAGACUCCUAUACACAAGAAUUAAAAUCAAAAAUCAAUAAAUGGGAUGGAUUCAAACUAAAAAGCUUCUUCUCAUCAAAAGAAAUAACCAGUGAGGUGAAUAGAGAGCCUACAGCUUGGGAGCAAAUUUUUACCACUCACACGUCAGAUACAGCACUAAUCUCUAGGAUAUAUAAAGAACUCAAAAGUCUUAAUACCAAAAAAACAAAUAGCCCAAUCAAUAAAUGGGCCAAGGAAUUGAACAGACACUUCUCAGAAGAUGAUAUAUAAUCAAUCAAUCAAUAAAUGAAAUAAAUCUCUAGCAGUUAGAGAAAUGCAAAUCAAAACUAAGAUUUCAUCUCAUUGCAGGCAGAAUGACAUCUAUUAAUAAUACAAACAACGUAAGUGUUGGCGAGGAUGUGGGGGAAAAGGCACACUCAUAUAUUGCUGGUGGGACUGCAAAUUGGUGCAGCCAAUCUGGAAAGUAGUAUGGAGAUUCCUUGGAAAACUGGGAAUGGAACCACCAUUUGAACCAGCUAUCCCACUCCUUGGUCUAUACCCAAAGGAUCUAAAAACAGCAUACUACAGGGACACAGCCACAUCAAUGUUUAUUGCAGCACAAUUCACAAUAGCUAAACUGUGGAACCAACCUAGAUGCCCUUCAGUAGAUGAAUGGAUUAAAAAAUGUGGCAUAUAUACACAAUGGAAUAUUACUCAUCAAUAAAAGAGAAUAAAAUCACGGCAUUUGCAGGUAAAUGGAUGGAGUUGGAGAACAUAAUGCUAAGUGAAGUUAGCCAAUCCCAAAAAACCAAAUACCAAAUGUUUUCUAAGAUAUAAGGAGGCUGAUUCAUAAUGGAGUUGUGGUGGGAGCAUGGGUGGAUUAGAGGAACUCUAGAUUGAGCAAAGGGGAGGGAGGGGAAGGGAGGGACCAAGGGGGUAGGAAAGAUGGUGGAGUGAGAUGGACAUCAUUACCCUAAGUACACGUAUGAAGACACGAAUGGUGUGACUCUACUUUGUGUACAACCAGAGAUAUGAAAAAUUGUGUGUGUGAUAUGAAUUGUAAUGUAUUCUGCUGUCACACAUAACAAAUUAGAAUAAAAAAUUUUAAAAAAUUAAAAAAAUCCAUAUGCAUGUUUUGUGUUGAUAUACAUUUUCAACAAAUUUGGGUAAACAUUAAGCAAUGCAGUAGCUCGAUCAUAUGAUAAGAGCGUGUUUAGUUUUGAAAGAAACUGCCAAACUACCAUUUCCAUUUCCACCAGCUAUGAAGAGAGUUCCUGUCACUCCAUAUCCUCAUCAGCAUUUAAUGUCAUUCUCUGAUUUUUAGAAAGUACUAUUUGUGUUUGGUUUUCAGCAGCUUUUCUGUGAUGUAUGCUUCUUUAUACUUAUAAUUAUCUGUAUUUUGGCAUCUUUUAUACAUUUUGGGAAGAUUAUCAGCUACCAUCUCUUCAAAUAUUGCUUCUUUCAAUUAGAAGAAGGUCUAAUGAUAGAAACAGAAUCACUAAGAGCUGUGUACGCGCGUGCGCACACACACACACACACAGAGACACACUCAGUUUUUAAAAUAGGAAUUUUUUUUAAAAAAAUUAUUUAUUUAUUUUUAUUUAAAAUAGGGGUUUGACCUUAGAAAAUCAGCCACGCUGGUCUGAUAGACUCAGGUUGUUCCCCUGUUUAUGGCCUCAGCCACAGUCAACAGGACAGAGAAGUAGAAAGAGAAGACGGGAUGUGCCAGAUGGGCUGGAACCCCCCCUCUGUUUCCCAUUGCUUCCCAGACUGCAACUUGGAUGACAGGUGUCCUGCACAAGCAGCAACCCCCACCCCUUCGUGGAGCUGCAUAUGCACCUGGCCCAGGAGUUGAGGAGGCUGAGAAAGGAAAACUGACAGGAGCUGGAGGAUGCUGCGGGUCAAAGAGGAAGGCAGCUGUUUGCUGCAGCAGCUCCGUGUUCCCUAUCUUGACCUGAGCGUGAAAGGAACAUAACAGCCAUUUACGGCCGCCUUCUGAAUCUAGGAAUGUCUCUUGUGACAGCCAUCCCUGCGAGCCAGGGACGGAAACUGGCAACAGUAGUACUGGCUUGGCCAAGUUCACAUGGCACAUUGUACAAUUCACCCCUCACCUGAUGACCUCACCCUUCUCUUUCUGAGACCCCAUUUUCUUCUUGUAAGUGUCUUUUACACUCUAUUUCGUACUUUCCAUACUUUUGGAUUUGUGUCCUUCAGUCUGGAUAUUUUUCGUAUUAACUAUGUUCCACUUAACUAAAUCUCUUUUCUGUUUUUGAGUCUCUUGUUAAGCCUAUCUACCGAGUACUUAAUUUUGAUAAUUUUCCUGUUAAAUUCCAUUUGUUCCUUUUUAAAAAAUAAUUUCUAGUUCUAAACCGAAAUUGUCCGUAUUCUCAUUUAUUUCCUGAACAUGUUAACCACAGUUAUUUUACAUCCAUAUUGUGUCAUUCUGAUAUCUCAAUCUCUUGUGGGCUUCUUUCUUUUGUUUUUUGGCCCAUUCUUGUCAUUUUAUUGAUUGAAUCUGCCUACUUAUUUUUGAUUGAGUUAUAGGCAUUGUCUAUAAACAUAGAAAUCUUUUAAGAUUUGAAUGAUUUUUUUUCCUUCCUCCCAACAGAAUUUGCUUUUGCUCUGUCAGGCAGUUAAUAUAGACUUUAAUCAGAAGUUGAGUUGAUUCAAACUCAGCCUUGGUUUUUAUAAAGGCCUGGGUAUUUCCAUUCACUCCUACUUAGGAAAGUGUAUAUUAAGAGGAACUCCUUUAGGGGUCCUAGCUGGAAGCCUUAUGUGUGUAUUGACUUCUUGGUGGGUCCUGAAUGCCUAUCUUUCCAGCUUUUUGAGUUUCCUCCUGGAUUCUUUUCUCGGAUUCUCAUCCUUCUUGCUGUUACUUUUGAAUAAACUACUUAGGGAAAAAUUGACGUGGGUCCUUCCUCUUGAAGUUUGCUCUUUUAAGACCUUGCAACCUUUGUGGUUCUUUUAUACCUCCAAAUAGAUUUUUUAUAUUUUUUCCAAGUUACCCUAAAGUGGCAUUUAAAAAAAAUAUAUUUUUAAGGCUUUGUUGCUAGUUUUAGAGAUUAUGAAGUUGAUCUGUGAAAAGUGAGUUAUAUUCUAAAUUCUGAGCUAUAGCAAUCUUAGGUUAAGUGAAAAAUGCCCUUGGUGAAGUUUCUGUGGUCUGUUACUCAUUUUAAAAGUUAGUUGUACUGCGCUGCGGGGUGGAAAAUUCAUAAUUGACAAUUUUAUUUCACAGAGGAAGAAAUUAAAGUGGCAGCAAUUGAAAACCUAGGAAUAAAUCACUAAUGUUCAUAAUUAAAGAUACAAGUAGAGUUUGAUUUUGUACUCUCCAAUUUUAAGCUCAGAAAAUCUUAUAUCUUUUGAUUUCAUUUUGCUUUAUUCAUGAAUACAAAAAAAAAAGGUUUUAGAUUCCCCUUUUCAGCUAGUUUUUUGGGUAUUGUUUGGCUGGUGAUUUGCCGAGAGUUUGGCUCUUCUGGGUUCCACCUCUGCAGUGCUUAGGUGACCCUUGGGCAUGUCCACAUCUUUAAAUCAGUAACUUCCACUUUUCCUAGCCACUUUGUCUUCAGUUUUUAAUUUUGUUGAAUUCUAAAUUAUUUAAAUCCUGUUCUAGUCUUUCCCCCAAUUGUCUCUGUGUCCUUGUCAACCACCAUCCUAGUUAUGUGCAGCCUUUCCCAACUCUGCAUUCAUAGCCAUCACAUGGUAGUUUGGAAACGGCCCCAAUAGAACUACUUACAUCAUGAAAAUUGGGAAUCACUACACAUCAAGGCUUUUUUUCCUGUAGAGCAAGUUACUAAACCUUUACCAGCAUACCCAUGCUCGUCCCUCCAUGUAGCAAAGUGCUAUCAACUCAAAGAUGGAUGCAGAUCUGGUGCCACAGAGUGGGCUGGAUCACCACUGAGCAUCACCAACAACUUAAGUCUGGAAUUUUAGCUCUUGUUCAUAAAACUCCUGUGACCAACUAUUCCUGCCUCUGUGGAUCCCUAACUCAAUUCUUCUUCUAUUCUGGUUUUAGCCUCUCACAUUGGUGGUUGAGAAAGAGCUGGAAUGAAGUCAUCCCUCUUCUCGUUUUGUCUUCAUCCCAGUUUGCAAAGCUGCAGAGAGCAUAGUUGACAAUGCCUUGUGUUCUACAGCAUGCAUGGAAACUCGGGCGUGGUGUAGGCAGCGGGGAGCCUGUAUUUCCGGCAAGGCUUGCCUUGGUUUGCAGCACUACCAAACUGGAUACAGAUAAACGGAGGGUUACAAAGUCAGUAUUCCCUGGGAACAGAGAGUAUGAGCCUCAGCCUCCCCAGGCAAACCAUCAGCAGAGCUAACGAGGACUCACUGCUGUUCUGGUCUCUCUCUGGGAGCUUCCCCAAAGCAUCAGUAUCAGGGCACAGCUGCAUGAAGAUUCGGUGUGUUGAUGAAGCUGGGUUUCAUUUUUCAUGUUGACUUGUUAUGCUCAAGUGACAGAAACUUCUAUUACCUUUGUUGUUUUAACUAUAAAAUGAGUACCAUGUCAGUUGACUUUUCUUUUUCUUUUUGUUCUGGGAAUGGAACCCAGGGUUUUUUUACUACUGAGCUACAUCUCCAGCCCUUUUUAUUUUUUAUUUUUGAGACAGGGUUUCACUAAAUUGCUGAGGCUGGCCUCAAACUUGCAAUCCUCUUGCCUCUGCCUCCCUGAGCUGCUGGGAUUUGUGCCACUACACCAUUGAAUUUCUAUCUUCUUUACCACAACAGUACUCAUCACCUUAUUUCAUCUUUUCAAGAAACCUCUAUGGAAAUAACAAUAAAAUAUCUUUAGCAAUUAUUAUCGAUUGAUCACUUCCUAUAUGCCAUCACUAUCCUGGGUACUUUACAUAAGUGUCUCCAUUUAGUUCAUACAAAUCUAUGUAAGAUAGGUACUCCUGUCAACCAGUUUCCAGAGAAGACUAAAUGUACUGAAAUGUUAAAAUAAUUUGUUCUUGUUGAGGUAUUACAGAAAAUGGUAGAUUCAGGAUUUGAGCUAAUAUAAGACUCUGAAAUCUAAUUUUUUCUUUUUCUUUUUUGCGGGGCUGGGGAUUGAACCCAGGGCCUCACGCAUACUAAGGGAGUGUUGUACCAUUGAGCCACACCCUGGACCCAACGUAACCACCCUGCCUCUUAGAAAAAGAGAAAGAUGGAAAAGGGCACAGGAUGCUGCUCCUUUUACUUCUUAAAGGGAACAGGUGUCACCUUGGUCUCCUGCUUUCAGUCCUCCGUGGUUCGCAGGAGGCUGUGAGGGAGGGUGGGGAGCACAGAGCUCCCCUGGGGGCAGCUGGAUUGGCUGCUUUCCUGCUCCACACCCGGCUUUCUCCCCCGAGUCGGUUCAGGCAGGCGAGGCUGUGACUCCCGGGGGCAGGCGCUUCUUGCCAACUCCAGUCUUAAAUUGCAGCACUCCGGAGGGGAUAAGGACCUUGGAAUCAGUGUACAGAGCAAACCUGAGUGUCACAAAGCAAAUAUUUCACAUUUCAUGUUAAAUCAGAUCCUAAAACAAGUGUGAAGAAUUGGGAUUAAGUGAGAAACGUACGUUUCAGGAGCUGAAAUGGGUUUUGAUCAGGGGGAAACCCUGCCCUGUCCCAUCUCUUCCUGGGGAGUCUGGAUGCCGUUCCAUGGGCCGGAUGUCACGAGGUGCACUGAACAGCAAGAGAUGCUGAGGUGAGGCGGGGCAGGCUGGGUGGACAGGUGUGUGACCGGUGUCACACCAGCUUUUAGACCUAGGAGAUUAAAGUGGGACUUGGCGUUCAAGAAAAGGUAUUUAAAAUUAAAUUAAAAGGACACUAGGGGAGGAAUGGCGGCCGCUGGAUGGCCGCAGCAUCUCCACGGCCAGGUCGGCAUCCUGGCAGGGGUCAGGCUGCGGGGCAGCCCUGGGCUUUUCCUGGAUGCCGCCUUUACCCAGCAGCCGCGGCCGAGGGAGGAGCGCGGGAGCCCCACGCUGCCCGUCAAUCUGGGGCUUGUGGCCUGGGUUUUGUGAGUGCGUGUGUGCAUGGGAACGUCCGUGCUGCGUGUCGUCCUUGAGCAGAGGUAGGACCCUAGCAUGUCCUGGCAGAACUCCCCAUCUCCUUGUUCAGCGAGUGUCCGGCUGUGAGCUGGAGCCGUGGGAUUGGAGGCAGGCAGGGGCUCUGGACGCCCAGGAGACGAGGGAGAGGCCCAAAGUCAGGGCCUGGGAGGGAGGACAUAUGACACCCAGUGAGCCCAGCGCUGCCCGGAGGGCGGCAGGUGGCAGCUGAGGCCGACCUUGCAAGAAGAUCCUCCGGCUCCUUCUGUGCUAAAAGGAGGCGACUUAUUUUUAGUUCUUCCCGCCUUCUAUUGCUUAAGUGUUGGCUUGUUUAACUAAGAGGCUGUUGCGUUUAAAAUUCCCUAGAUUUUUCUAAGUUGUAGUUCUAGAGCUGACACUGACACGCUGUCUUUGUGAAAAGAAUUUUUUUUAAAAAAUAAAAUCAAGUUUUUCUGUUUGAGGUUUCCACAGAUAAUUAUGAUAACACCACGACUGAUGCCUGAUGUGUUAUCCAUCACCCCAAGGACAGCAGGGUUCCCCUUCCUUGUUGCUCACUGACCAUCUGGAAUGGCAGGGUGGAGGCCUCCCAGGAGAUGGGGCUCUCUGGGGCUUGGAUGCCAGCGUCAGUUACCCAACCUCUCUCCAGGAGGAUCCGGUAGAACAUGUGGCUCUGAGAGGUGCCCUUCUGCUUAUACUCAGGCCAUGUCCUUUACCUACAGGACAGGACAGGGCUGUCCCCCUUGUCUCGCCCUGGGUCCCUGCCCCCACCUUCUAUCGACCACUUGCUUUACAUCUGCAGGACUUCAGUACUCGCUGCAGUGUCUGCUCAGGCUGCCAGAACAAAGUUCCAUAGAUUUGGGGGCUCCACAGAGACUUCUUGCCGUUCUGAGGUCUCAGAGUUGGAGAUGGAGGAGUUGGCAGGGUGGUUUCCCUGAAGCCUCUCCCCUGAGCUGGGGACGCCCAGUCUCGCCUUCUCCUUAUUUCUCCUGGGGGCCGUGUGCAGUCAGCCUCUGUGUGUCCUAGAAGUUCAACAGUUGUUGGAAUAGAAUCCCUCAGGUGACCUUAGCUUGACUGAUUUUCUCUUUAAAGACCCGUCUCCCAGUACAGUCACAUUCCAAGGCACUGGGGUUAGGACUUAACAUACCGGGACGGGCACGUGAACAGCCUUUCCUUGCUGGACCAGCCUCCAAGCCACAUCUUCUCAUCGCCCCCCUGACCACCUGCUCCUUUCACCUUCACUGCCAAUGCCAACCCCAACCUCUUAGGCACCAUCCCUCUCCCUUCCUAGGACUCCCAGAAAGGGGAUCUUGGUGACCCGACAUCCAGCUGAGAUGGUAAUUCUUCAAGACCCUGUUAGAAGCCCCUGCCUCCUUUGUGCCCUUAUUGAGGCUGCACAGAGCUGGAUCUGGUGCGGGGACAUGCCACAGUGUGUUGCAAGGGAGCUGGGGGCCGCAGGAGGUCCUCACUCUUCCAAGUUUAGUGCUUGGGGGCCACCCCCUGCCCACCCUUGGGGUGCAUCAUACUCAAACCUCAUUUUUUUUAAUCUAAAAUAUAUUUUAGUUGUUGACGGACCUUUAUUUUAUUUAUUUGUAUGUGGUGCUGUGAAUCGAACCCAGUGCCUUGUGCACGCUAGGCAAGUGCGCUACCACUGAGCCACACCCCAACCUCAAACCUCAUUUUUGAAGUAAGGUUUCCAUUUCCCCUCUGUUCCCAAUUCUGCUGAGAAAAGUGGACCCUUAAGAAAAAAGGGAGGGCAGGGGUUGCGGCUCAGGGGUACAGUGCUUGCUUGGCACAUGUGAGGCCUGGAUUGGAUCCUCAGCACCACAUAAAAAUAAAUAAAUAGAAUAAAAAAAGAAAAAGGGGAAACACAGGUUGUGCUUUCUGGGGUGUCUAUGCCUCAUGUGUGAAGAUGUGUCUGGGAAGAAGAGGUCCUGGCUUCUGAAGAGGCAGUGGCUAGUGAGGUGGCUAUGGAGCCUGGUGGACGUUGACUGAGGACCCCCAAACCUGGACCUCGGUGUAGUAACCAAUGUGGAGCUCUUGGGGCACAGAAGUUGCUUCUCUGCUCUUCUGACCACUGCCAAGUGAAAGUGAUUUGCCAAUCUAAGGCCCGUGGCUCUCACAGGUGGUCUGCAGACUAGGAGCAGGAGACCCUGUGGAAUCGGUUAGAAGUCCACCUUGUCUGCAGAGUCAGGAACUCUGUGUGGACCAGCAAUCUAAGUGGCUAACGAGCCCGCCAGGUGUGCUGGUGCUGCGGGUUUGCCCCCUCCGCUGCGAGGCCUGGAGUUACAGAAGGCACCAUUGCUCUGCUGUCCUGAGGCAGGCUGGGUGGAUGUGGAGAAGAGUGACGCUGAGAUUACUAUGAUCUAGCCACUGUCUGAAAUGCAAACAUUUCAUCAGGUAUUCCACUCAGAAAAUGUUUUUAAUAAUUGUUGUAUUUACAUCUAUAUCAUACUUUUAGGCUAUGGUGUUUGGUCCUUUCUGAGUCAUUUAUUUGUUCACAAAAAUGUAUUGCAGACCUACUAUGAACCAGCAAUUUGCUAGCUCUUGAAUUCAAUGAUUAGGAAAACCAGGGAAGUACGUUCUUUUGAGUGUGUUUGUGUAGUGGCCAGAGGAGGGAUGGAUGUUAACUAAGCAAAGAAAUUGUAUUUGUGUUUAAGCCUUUACGUGAGGUAGAAAUAGCAAUUGAACAACCAAAUAAUUAUAAAAUUACAAAUCUGUUACAGUCUAUGAAGGGGAGGUGUGAGGUUGGUUGUCUAAGGGUCAGGGAACCUUUCCUUAAAGAAGUAACUUUCAAGGUGAGGAAAGUGGUCGUUAACAACACAACAGAGGUGGAGGUGGGGAGAUAAGGAAAGGAACAUAGGCCUGUUGUGAGGAUGCAAAGAUACUGUAAGGAAAUGAAAGUAGGGAUUUGGAACCAUACUGUGGGUUUUAGGUUUUAAGAGUAAUGGGAAGCCCCAUGUAUUAGUUUGCAUUCACUAGGUAAUGCUGUGUAACAAGCAUGCAAAAAAAAAAAAAAAAUCUCAGUGGUUCCCAGUUACAAAUUUUGUUUUUUUGACUCAUGUUACAUCUUGACUCUGGGCCAGUCACAGGUGUGCUCCAUGGGCCCUCUUCACCCUAAGACCUGGCUGAAGCAGCAUCCUAAAUCUGGGUCAUGUUUUUCUCACAGCAGAGGCAAAUGAGCCACCAACAAACCCUGAGAUGCCCCAGGCAUGGACCCCUCUGAUCAUAUUCUACUGGGCAAAGUGUCACCAGGCUGAGUCUCAGGGAAGGGUGGGAAGGUGGGGGCUGGAGGUGGGCAGUUAGGGGCAGACAUAGUCAGGGUCAGGGUUCUUUCCACGGGCGGCCCUUGAAGAGUGUGCCUGGGGCUGGUGGCAACACAAGAGAUCUGUUUUGAAAAAUAAAGCAACUGGAUGAAGUGGGCCCCCGAGGAGAAGGUGGGGUGAGGACAGGUUUCAUGUCCUAUUCCAGGCUGAGACGAUGAUCACCAGGGUCAAAGGGGCAGGGCUGCAGAUGGAAAAAUGAGAUUGGAGAAAAAUUUUGAAGUAAAAAUAAAUAACCUUGAUAUUAAUAUGGGCUUGGUUUGAGUAUGUUCAUUUUGAGGUGCCCUGAAACCUUCCGUGUGGUGUGUCAUAUCGACUAGAGUAGGGUACAAAUUCCUCAGAGUCCCCCCCUCCCGUUUCUUUUGGAAUGUGACCUGAAAGUUGUCUGGAGAGUAGCUUUCUUAAUGGGAAUAACCUUUGUGUCUUUAUGUCCUUGAUUCCAGAGUCUGUAGAUAUUAAAAUAUUGUUCAUAGGUGACAGCUCUUCCCCAUUUUUGUCUCAGGUUAUUCAGAAGAAGGAAGAGCAUUCCUCCUGUCCUUCCCACCUAUUGGUAGAGUGUCCCCCUUCACCAGGGGCCUGUGCCUCCUUCCCCUUGGGGUGGGUGGGAGCUGAGGGAGUCCCUUCCCCGCUCUGCGUCCACAGACUGAGGCCCAGCACAAGGUUCCAGCAUCUUCCUCUCAGAAAAUUGACAAAUACGGUCCCGGACGGUGAGCAGCUGAAACCACCAAGGGCUCUUGGACCUCGGGGGCGGAUUUUCAUCCUAAACCAGCCCACCUCUGAGUUCAAGAGGUGUCAGUACUUGGAAUGCAGAGCGGGUGGAGCCAGGCUCUCCUGUUCCAGGAAACAUGCCGCGAGAUCCCAAUGCACCUUUGGGCUGGACUCUUGGUGACAGCCUCCUUCCGUUUGUGACUGAAGUUGCAGGGACAGGAGCACACAUCCGCCAGGUCGGACGUGUGGACCUCGGGUCUGGUGUGGACACACUUGACGCUUUCCCUCCUGAACGCCAUGCUGCGAUUACGCCUCCAUUUCUUGCCCUCUUCAAAACUCCCCAGAAGUUCUGUGUAAGGACAAGUCACCAAUAUCACACAAGUGUGUACUGGGUCCUCUGCAUCUUGGUGCUCCUCAAAGUCCCUACCUUGAUGCACAGAGAGGGGGCGCAGGGGCUGCUCAUUAGAACCAGUGACCUCUGCCUUGGCUGGGAGGGGGAGUGGUCCCCCCCAAGGGCAGCUUCCGCCUGCUGGAGCUGGUGGCGGGAAGAGUUGAACCUGAGCUGACUGAGGUCAUUGAGCCGAGCUGGAGUCCCGGCUGGGUUGGUCACUGAGCUAGUUAUGUAAUAUUCAGACCUUAAUUUCCUCAUGGAGCAUGAAUAGGAAUGGAGGGAUGUAAUGUGCACAAAGCACACCGAUAACUAAUGAUGUCACCUCAUGGAGACACGGUAAAACCUACCACGGGUUUUGUUUGUAAAACAGGGGUAGAGAAGUAGUUCACGUGUAAAAGUAAUCCUGAAUUGCCUCAGGAUGUGGCUCAUUAUGGACGGGGGACUUUAUUCUGCCAAUUAUUGGACCAGGAAACUUCACCUGGAUAAGGACAUCCAGCCACUGUGCCCUUGAGGGCUCUGUCCUUCCCUGUGGCUCAGUCAGGCCUGGCCACAGUGGGGUUUGUAAAGGGCCUCAGAGUAUUGAGUGGCUUGUCCUGGAGGCUUCAGCUGGGGUGGGCUGGAAUCGUUAUUUAUUGUUGAACUUUUGUUAACCCACUGCAUUGAGGGGCUCUGGGGGAGCCACUGAGUGAUCUCUGCAGCCAGUUGCUUCUUCCUAGUUGAGUUUGAAGCCUGGGGUCGCCCUUGGGUUCGCCAUGUGGGUGGGAGGCUCUUCCUGAGAAGGAGCAUCUUUCCAUGUCCCUGUGCAGAAGACUGAUGGCGGAAGCCAGCCGCCUGCCUGCGGAAAAAUCCCAGGAGGAGGCCUGGCAGGGGCGCAGGACUGAGCAGAGGACCUGGAUGUGAGCCUGAGGUCUGCCGCAGCUCGGUGCACAUGUGGGUAGGUGAACCUGGGGCUCUUAAUCCUCCACUGAAAGGUGACCGGAGCCACUCUCCACCUUGGCUUGUGGCUUUCCAGAAGGGUCUACCCCCAGAGGGUAUCCAGUAUAAGAAGGAGAGUGCCAGAAUAUUACUCAGCCACAAAGGAAUGGAGUGCCCACGGUAGGCAUCCACGGCUGCACCUCGAGGAGAGCAGGGUGGACGCAGAUGCCAGGCACAGAAGGGCAGUGCCUUGGGACUCCUCCUAGCUGAGGUUCCUGCCGCAGGCACACCAGACCAAGAGGAGCAGAGGCUGCCAGGAGCUGGCGAGGUGGCAACGGGGAGCCGGAGUUUGCUGGUGGAGUUUGGUUUAGGAAGAUAACAGUUUGGGAGAGAGAUGGAGGUGGUGGUUGCACGGUAACGGGCCUGGAUUUGACGCCAUGGAAUCAUCCCCCAAAGCGGCUAGAGUGGUAGAUUUUAUGUAUACUUCACUACAAUAAGAAAUAAAAAAAUUAAGGCGUAAACACGGAACAAACAGGUUAUAGAAUAAUUGUCUUUUUCUUUCUUUUCACAGCUCAGGAAGAAGCACCUGGCUGCAGAGAUUACUCAACGGGCCCGCAGAGCCCCUCAAUGCAGUGGACUGGAGGACACGGACAGGGACCUGGGCUGCUAUGUCCGGGCGUGGGAGCCUUCUGGCCUGGACAGUGUGCCCUGAGGGAACCCAGGAUGGGAGUCAGGCACUGGCCUGGGUCAGGCCUGGGUCAGGCCUGGCUCCCGCUCUUCAGUGGUCAGCGUGAGCGCUGCGAUCCUCCUUUCUUUGUCUGUGGAUGCGGGGUCAUUGCAGUCGGCCUCAACGCCCCCUUAGCUCUUCAAUUCUCAAAUUCCAUUUACUUUUGGAUCCGGUUCCAUCCUUUUAAAUGCUGUCACCUUUGCUUACUUUUAUAAACACAGGAGAGCAAAUCAUAUUUGUUUACUAACUUAAACAAUGAAUAACAACAAAAACGUGAAAGAAAAUCCAUCACCUCUGAGCCUACAGGUUGCGAGAAACCCCCUGGCUCCCCCGGAGCGCCCCAGGCCCGGCCAGCAGCCUGGGCUACCGGAGUCUCCGGCCCUGGAGGGGGCGGGCAAUGCUGCUCUGCCGCGCCCUCUGGUGGCCGCUUUCCGUCAUGGUCACCAACCACAGGGUUGUGCCUUGGGCUGCCCAAGCGAAAGAUUUAAUUUACUCCGACAAAUAUUACAUCUGGUGCUUCGGGUAGAGACACGGAAAAUGCCAUCUCUCUUUUCUGGAAGUCUCUCUCUUAGUGGCCAGUGAUGAAGAUGCCAGAAAAAAGUAGCCCAUUCAUUAUAUUUAUGUUGUGUGAGAUUGUACCUCAGAGGGUGAAGUCAAUGAGAAGAAUAAGUAAUUGAAACAAGCAUUUUUGUUCCCUUGGCAGAAAUUCAGUCAUUAGCAAUAUACCUAUUACAAAGGGAGAUUAGAUAAAUUAGAGAUUAAAGAAAGUGGAACAGAUGUUUUUCCUCUGAUAAGCAUCAUUCUAUCAAAAAAGCAAAGAAACAACAACAAAAAAGCAAACCUCCGGAGACUUGGACUUGGUGCAGAAAAUGUGGGGGCAGAAAUCCUAGGUUGGGGGAGACGUGGCCUGCACAGGGUCACACCUGGAUGGUGUGGACGCUCUCAUCGUGCCAUGACUCAGCGCAGUCCUUCCAUGUUGUGAGGGUGCCAGGCGCCCCAUGAGUUUUGUGGGCUCUGCGCCAGACGCCUGGUGGACCUUAUCUUCACCCUCGAAGUAGCAGCCACUGAGGGGCGGCCAUGUUGUCAUCAUUGCACGGAGAGCAAGGAGGCGGGGGCUCUGGGCGGGUGGUUUGAUUCAGAUCAGGCCCAGCACAGUCAUGGUUCUCAACUAGAGCAGCAGCAGCACUGGGAGCAAAUUCUGGGCCCCGGACCUCGUGAAUUGAGAACCUGGGUGGUGGGGGCAGCAAUCUGAUCUUCACAAGGCCUUGGGUGGAUCUGAGGCUGCUCAGGUUUGAGGACCUCAGAGGGCCUUGGACUCCUCUAGGAGACUGAAACAAUGAAAUCACAGGUGCUGGGACCCCAGGCCCCUGGGAAGUGGAUACAAUUCACAGUGCAGCCAGCUUCAGAGCCACUGGAGUAGAGAGGCCAAGUGGGGCUUGAACUUGCCUCUGUCUUGCUCAUCCGUAGACCUCGCCGCCUGGCAGAUUCUGUAGUGUGCAGCCUGCUUCUCCGUGCGUGGGGAGAACGCGGAAGCCGUGCACCUGACUACCCGCAGUGCAGAAGUGGCUAGUGGCCCAGCAAGCAAGGCCCACACGGACCUGGCAUUGUGCCCUCCCGAAAGCCAGUUGGCUCCAGAGUGGGCCUGCCGUCCAGUGCUGUGGCUUCCCGGGAGUUGGCUGCCAGUCUUCGGGGAGAUUUAUUUUCCUCUGAGAGAGAGCCACAGGGAGCCAUCAUGGGCUGAACUGAUGACCCUCUGGUCUUCCUCUGAGCUUGGCUGUGUCGCACUCUGCACCUGUGAGAGCCACGAGGAGCCCACGUGAGCCUGGCAGAAGGUAAGAUGGCAAGAGCCGGUUCCUGAUGGAGCUGCUGAGGGCACGGAGGUCACUCUGCCAGCGGAAAACUUUCCCUCUCCAGGUAGAAACCC